rnacentral:lncRNA from 1 species
AAAAACCUAACCUAAAAUUUAUCUACAGGCAAGCCGCCGUCCGACGCCCUUUCAGCUUUUAGUUUUUUUGGUCCCAGAACCAGCAAAAAGCUUGGCUCGCCAUCUUCCCUGAAACCGGAGAGAAACCCCACUCAAAUACACUCCCUGGUCUCUGCCAUUUUCGGCACCUUCCCCUUUCCCAUUCCAGCCUUCCCAAAUCAACCAUCCUCUUCACCUGCUCUCGGUGAUCAGCUUCCCUUUAGCCCUCGGUCAAAGCAAGCCACAGUCGGCCUUCCCUCAACUUUUGCCCUUUGGUUUCUUUUUCUUCCAGCAGCGAUGGCCCCCUCCCCGUGCAGCGGCGCCGUGUUCCUCUAGCAGCAGCCCACACACGACAGCGCCCGGGCAACGCUCUCUUCUCCAUGUUCUGCAAUCGGCCUCCAGCAACAGCCAAGCCCGGCAGAACCCACCUUGGUCUAGCACAGCAACCUCCACCCUCACCUCGGAGCCGUCAGCCGUCAUGAAGAGGAAGAACUAAACUCAGAUCUGGAAAAGAAAGGAGACUGAGAACAGAUGAAAGAAAAAGAAAAGAACAGACCCGAAAGAAACAGACCUGAAGAAGGAGAAGAAAAAAACAGAUCCGUGAAGAAGUAAAGAAAAUUAAAAACAACUGCUUGUGUUUUGCUUUCUGCAGGUGACGGUGGGUGUCACCGCCGACAGGAGAAGGAAAAAGGGACGAAGCUGGUACAGACCCCCUGUUACCCGGGUUGUCUUCGCGGCGGCGCCGCCAGUGGCAUGGCGCGUGGGGGGACGCCCCAGAAACCUUCCAGCCAUUGCAGAAGGCCUUCGAUGCAAUUCUUGUAGAUUUUUGGGUUUUAUUUUGUAAUUUGUGAAUUGUAUUUGAUUUAUUAUGAGUUUUGUUUUUUUUUUACAUGUAAAAAAUAAUGUAUAAGAAAAUCAUAAUAAAAAAGAGAGAUCCUUUGUAUUUUUAUUUAUGUUAUUGAAUUAUAUAAAAAAUAAUUGUUUAAUUUGAAUAUGGUUAAAUAUUUUAAGGAUAAAUAAAAUCAUUUUAUAUUUUUUAUAAAAAUAUAAGAAUAUGUUUCUACAUGUAUUCUAGAUGAUUUAAUUAUUGAUUUAUUAAAACUUUAGAAUUUGAUUAAUAUUUUAGAUUUUUAAAUCAUAUCAAAUCACAAAACAGCUUAUUUCUGGUAAGAUGUGUUAGGGGUAUUAAUAUCUUUCCUAACUACAACUAGUCUCAUACCCGUGAAUUUUUGACAAUGAUCAUUGCAUUUAGAUUUUUUAUUAACCUUUAAUCAAAUACUAGGUGGAGACUUCUAAGACUCUAAAUCAAACAAAGGAAUGAAAAAUCACUAAUUUAUCGCCGCCAGUGACGUGCAAGAAUAACUAAUUUUAUUUUAUUAAUAUCUUCAAAGUAAGAAAUUCUAAAAUAUACAUAAUUAUUUUGAUAAAUUUUAACUUAAAAAAAACAAUAAUUCUUAAAAAAACAUGUUUUUGUAACAAAAAAGAAAAGAAAGAAACACAUUCAUUUUUUAAAAAGAAACACGUUAUGUUCACUUUUUAUUUCAAAUCAAUACAAUUUUUUUAAUUUCUAUGUUUGUUUUCUUUAUUUUUUAUCCAAUAAACUUUAUAGCUAUUAGAAAAAAAAUAUUCUUUUUAAAUUAAAAAAAAAUAUGAAAAAAGAAUUUUAACUAAAAAUAUAUUUUUUUCCAAGAAUUCAAAUAACUAUUAUGAAAAAAUAGUUUUAGUUACCCUUAAUGUAACUUUAUAGCUUACGGUAUAAGCUAGUGCUUGGGAUUAUAAUGCAAACAAGAAACUAAACUGUAAUGUACUAAAAGAGAAUUCAUUUUUAUCUUCAUACAAGUAAAUAAAAAAUAAAAAAACAACCAUGUUAUAGGUUAAAUAUUUACACUUGCAUUUAUUUUUUUGUUUUCUACAAAAAAACCCAACUGUUUCAGCCUUUAAUUAGCAUGAACAAAUAUUAUUUAUGUGAUUUAUUAAUUUAAAUAUUUUUAAUUCAUUUUUUUAAAAAUAAAAAUAUCAUCUUUUCAGUUUCUAAAUUAAAAAUUUCAUGCUAUCAAAACACAUGUCCACAUAUUCAUAGCUUCUUGUUUUUUUUAUUAUUAUUAUUAUUAUUUAUUACAUUACAAUUUAGUUUGUAAUGUUACCCGUAAUUAACUAGAUGGUAUCUAAUGUCUCGUCUCUUUGUAUCUCAAGGGCAGUCUAGUUUGUCAGGUCUGACUUGUUAUCCAAUGGAGAUUAUCCAAAGAAAAUAAAUAAAUCAUAAUGUCAGAGUUUUUGACUACGCACUUGUGAUGCACAUCGAUUACAAAAUAAAAUAUAAAAAAAUGACAAUUUGAGAAUCAAACACAAUUUUUUUGAUAUAAUACAUAGGAGUUUUAUUUGAUAUAAAAUUUACAUUGAUUGUUUCAGUAGCAUAUCUAAUCUUUUAUAUUCUUGCGAAUGAACUUAGGCCCCGUUUGUUUGCAGGAAAGUGAAUUCCUUUUGGAAAAUGAAUUCCGGGGAAAGUGAAUUUCUGGAAAGUAAAUUCCGGGAAAGUAUUUUAUGAUGUUUGGUAGUGUUAUGGAAAAUGAAUUGGAAAAUAAUUUAUUAAUAAAUUAAUUUUUUUUUUCAAAUUUAUCUAAUAUAUAUAAAAUAUUUAAUAUAAAAUAUUUAAUCACUUACAAUAAAAAAAAAUAAAAUCUAAAAUGUAUAAUGAUGAAUUUUUUUUAUUAUAUUCUAUAUUCAUACAUAGCUUAUUUUAUAAAAUAUAACUAUAUAUAUCAUAUCAUAUUAUAAAGAAAUAAGCUUGUGAAAUAUUUUUUAUUAUUCUAUGAAACCAUUUAUAAUUUCAUUACGUACGAAAUACAUCCGACAAAAACUAUAGUUUUAAUAAUAUUUUUAGCAUGUAAUAAAAUUGGAUAAAAUAUUAAGGUAUAAAAUUCACUCUAAACUAUUUUUUUUAAAAUGUUAAAAAAAUAGCACACUUAAAAAUAAAAAUAAAAAGUCCCCGCAGGCAAGUGAACAGUGCACUAAAACUGCGCUGUUCACUAUUUUUUUAGUGAACAGUGUAUGCGAUACACUGUUCAUGUUAAUUGCACUGUUCAUUGAACAGUGCAAUUAACAUGAACAGUUACAGAAAAAACAUGACAACGCAGUAUUGGCCCACAUUAGGAAAGUGUUUUUCGAGAAUUAAAAGCGGAAAACACUUUCCUUAUGUUAAAAUUAACAUUUUCCUUUGACUGGAAUUACAUUUCCUUUGAUUCACUUUCCAUGUAUUGACAAACAUGGGAAAGUGAGUAAAAUGGUUUCUAGGAAAGUGAAUUCCUGGAAACAAACGGGGCCUAAGUAUUUUAGAUUUUGCAUGACAAUUAAACCGAAGGCUCUUGGGUUUGUCAUGACCACUAAAACCAAGAUCCUAUAAAAGUAUUUAAAAAAAUAAUAAUUAAGAUUUAAGUUUAAAAUAUUUUAAUGAUAAUUUAAAUAAAAGAAAGAGGGCUCUCUUCCACCUUUCCUUUCUUUCACAUCUUGAUUCGGAUUUUAUAGUGGUCCAUGGUCGGCCAUUUCCCCUUGACCUCGCUGUCCAUGGCAACUUCUUCUAUCGUACCAUUUCUUUUUAGCGGUCUUAUGUCAUGGUCAUGCACAGGAUAUAUCAGUCAAGUUUUGUCCUUGAUAUGCGACUCCCUCGAGUAUAUAUUUAUCUGCCUUCUUUUUCUAUAUCGUAAAAAGGAAACCUUUCACUAAAAGAGCUUUAAGUUAUGAUAGUUUGGUUUUUUAUUGAACAAAAACUAGCAAAACUUGUUUUGUUUUUUUCGAGUUUUUAUGGGAUUUUACUGACUUUUCCUAGGUUUUUUUAAAUUUUUUUUUUUUAAGUUUUAUGGAUUUUUAAAAAACUUUUUAUAUAUCUAGUUAUUUUGAGGCCAAGUUAAUUAACAAUGCAUGCAAGGAGAAAAGUUAAUCCACUAAAGUUAUCAAAAGCAACGUAAUCUAAUUCAACUACCAGUCAAUAUAUCAUAUGGAUUCAACAAUUAUUUAUUGAACUAUCCUGGAUUGGGUUUAAUUUUUUGGUGAAUCAUCACAUACAUAAUAUAUAUAAGCUUUUCCUGUUGCCAUUGAUUAACUUUUAACGUCCAAUACAUGGACAAAAGAUCUGAAAUUCUUUGAACAGAAAAGCUGGAAUUUAUGCAGUGACAGUGAUACAAAAUCAAGCUAUUAUACUUUACAAGUACAAACUUGAUUAAUAAACAAACCAUCCAAGCAAAUUGUACUUGGAAAAUAAAUGUAUCUGUCCCAACUAGUAGUUGUGUCUAUAUCCUUGUAAAUGAGCCUAAGACUAAAUACAGAAGGAAGAAGAAGAUCAAACCAAUGAGACAACUAAUGUUGAAAACAAGCCCUACUGAAGGUACUAGAACUGCGUAUUUGCGAAUGCGAUAAUCAUUGUCCCCAUGCCAAUUAUGGUUAACAACAUUGCAACCGCAAAUAAUCUUAGAGUGGUUUUCAAAUUCAUUUCUUCAUCCUUAUUCAUGUCCAAAUCUUGAAUCAACACCGUCAAAAAAUGAAUAAUUAGAUACAACAGAAAUAGAGAGCAUCAUUAACAUUGCAUCUAAUAUGACAAAUACUAUAAAAAUAACUUUUUUUAGCUAGAAUUGCAAUGCCUCUGUCACUCUUGUAACUGCCAGGUAGGAUAAAUGGUGCUACAAAUGUUAAUGUUGCUAUCAAUGCUGUAACUACUAGAUGAGACUCUCUUGCUUUACUUAAAGCAUCCUCUUCCUCUUUGUUUUCCUCCUUCUCUCUUCUCAAAACAAAGCGCCCGACCAAAUGGUCCCCUGCCAACAUCAAAGGAUUCUAGGAUCGUUUUCUGCAAAAUAUUUAGGGUAAAAUAUCAUAGAUAUCCAUUAUCUUUUUCUAUUUAAUUCUCAGAUUAUUUAAAUUUUAAUUAAUUGUUUUUUUUCAUUCAAUUGUUCUGCUUUUUGUUUUUUUAUUGAAUAAUAUGUUUUUAUAAAGCAGUUACAUGCGAUUGAUAUGCAUAAUCUGUUAUCGUAGAUGAAAAACUUAACAAAAUCAAUAAAAUAACUUGAUUUCAAAUAAAAAAGAUUAUUAAGUUAUUUAGAUGAAUUCAUUUUUAUGUUUGGUAUUGCAAUACGAAUGGUUUUUAAAAGGAAAACCUUUCUUGAAAAUUAAGUUAUAUUUUUUUUUACUGGAAAGUAUUUUUCAUUGAUUAACUUUUUAAAUAGCAAACAAACACAAUAAAGUUUGAAAAGUAAUUUUUAAAAAAAUAAUUAAAAUAAUAUAUCAGCAUGUUAAAAUGAUUUAAAAAUAUUAAAUAUAAUUUAAUUUCAAACUUUAAAAAAAUUUGAAAUUUAAAAAAACAUGCUUCACACAUCUAAGACUUGAAGAUAAGAAGAUUAUGGUCCAGCUCUAACCAUAAGAAAAACGAGUGAAGACAGAAAAGAUGCAAGUGGAGCAGAGAUAUUUAAAUUGUUUGUGAAACUUCUAGAAUCAUUUUUAUUCUAAUCUCUCACAGAACUCAGACAGCUUCCUCUGCUUUAUUUAUUUAUUUAUUCAUAUUGAUGAAUUGGUAUAAAUAGGCUUACAAGCCUAGCUAGUAAAUGGAAAUAGCCAAAAUAGUUACUUCUAUCAACAACCAUUGUCAACAAACAAACAGUCAUACAAGAUGAAUUCCUCUGAUCAACAAAUGAAUAGCAUCUCUUACAUGGAACCAAAAUUGUACAAAGCUGCAGAAGCAGGCAACAUCAACCCAUUGAAGGAUCGUCCUCCAACUUCUCUCAUUGAGCUAUUGACUCCACAAAAAAACACAAUUCUUCAUGUUUACUUCGAAAACCAACGUAGAGGAUGGAGAUCCACUGAUUUUGUUGGCCAAAUUAUUGAUAUGUGUCCACAACUGCUAUUGCAAGCCAAUACUAAAGGCGUUCCAAUGCAGUGGAAGUCCUCAUUGACCGCGCAGAAGCAAAAAAGAUGUUGAGGAUGACCAAUGAAGAGCAAGAUACAGCGUUGCAUGUGGCAGCUCGAAAUAUCCAAGCCCAAGUGGUGGAAAUAUUGACAAAAGAGGACCCUGAGUUUUCAUAUUCCGCCAAUGUUCAUGGAGAAUCUCCACUUUAUAUUGCUGCCAAUAUGAGGUUUGUGAACAUUUUUUUAGUCUCAAACAGAGUUUGAUACCGAUUCGAUACUAUAUGUGACCAACAUCUUUUUUUUUUCUUUUAAUAUAUACUAGAUUAAUCAAUUUUUUACUAAUCUAUUUAUCAAUCUAGAAUACUAUCGUUUUAAGAUUAUAUAAAUGUAAUUGUUGCAUGAUUAAUUUUAAUUUGUUCAGCUUUAUAAUGUUUAAGUAAAUCUGUUUUUAAAAUUAUCAUAAGAGAUAUUAGAAAAGCAAUGCUUCUAUAAUAAUAGGAUUUUACCUGGUUAUUUUUUUAUGCUAUGUAUGUUCUUGAACUCGAGACAUAUUAAUUCAAUAUGAAUAAGUUCACUUAUCUCCCUAAUUGCUUUUUAAGAACAAUAAAAAAUAGCAAAAUUUAAUGGUUUUUAAUUCUGUUUUAUUGGACUUAAAAUCUUGCUACAUAAGUAUUUAUUGGACUUAAAAUGUUAAUAAAAAUCACAUAUAUCUAAUUAUGAUAUAUUGCUGCCAAUGUAAGGUUUAAUUGGAUGUUUAAAAGACAUGAAGAAAAUAGAAAAAAAGUGAUCGACGAAAUUGAGUAAUUGCAAGUCAGUGGAAUAUUGUGGUUCUCAUGGCAGAACCGCACUACACGCGGCAGCCAUGCAUGGUGAUCAUGGUAAGAUUUUAUUCUGAACUGUAAAUCCUUGAAUUCAUAAAUUAUUAUCGGAAACCAUAACUGUGAGAAGUGUGUUCUUAUCUUAAAUUAUUUCUUAUCUGUUUGCCAUUUUAUUGUACUCAUUUAUUUUAUGUUUCUUAAAAAAAAUCUUAUUUUAACCUUUAGGAUAUUGUUCUUUUCAUUUAUUGUUCAUUUGUCAAAUUCUUCGUUUACUCUAUCACAUUUAAUAUUUGAUAUAUAUAGAAGUUAAUAAAGGGGUAAAAAAACAAAAAUAUUCAUUUUAUGUUUGUUAAAUUAAAGGUUAAAUUGUAUUUAUUACUUACAUAAUUCUUUGGAAGAUAUAUACAAGGUAAAGAAAAUACAUAUUAAGAAGACAAUGAAUUUCCUAGUCUAUUUAAUUAAGGACUUAUUUGCAUGAUUAUAUAUAAGAUUUUAGGACCAAAAUGUUCUUAUAUACGUUUGUAUGUAAGGAAUCUAUAUGACAUGUAUGUGUGGGCGAAUCAUUUCCAUAUUAUUAUUGAACAUAAAAAAAAAAAGAACACAAAUGAAUUAUUAGAUUAGUAAGACUACUGGAUUCUACGUUAAAAUGAUAAUUUAAAGGCUCAUAAUAAUAUUGAACUUUAUUCUUGUUGUUUAUAGUUUUCUUAAAAACUUUGGUCAUCUAGUUUAAAUGAGGUUGGAGUUGUUGACAUUUCCAUAUUAUUAUUUUAAAUAUGACCAAAUAAUAAUAACCAAUAAAAAAAAAUGAUGCAUAAACAAUAUUGAAUAGCGACUAUAAGAACCCAAGAACGUAGAAAGCAAGAAAGGGCAUUUAUAAUACAAUUAAAGAGAGAAAAAUGCCAAAUUAAAUAUUAACUUAUCACUAAAUUAGUAGCGUAGAUUACGCAUUAACCAUAAUAUUAUUCAUAUAUUACCUAAUAUGUACCAUAUUUUUUUUAUGGUUUAUUGCAGAGACAGCAAGAAAGAUAUUAAAAAGCGACGCGAGUUUGACGAGAAGAACCGACGAUGACGGGUGGUCACCACUUCACUACGCUGCCUUUUUCCCUACUUUAUUGCCAGGUUCUCUAACAGUAAAAGUAUUACUAGAACAUGAUGUGUCCGCAGCCUACAUUGUUGAUUCAGAGAAGAGAACAGCCCUUCACUUGGCCGUCGUUCGAGGCAAUGUGGCAGCAGUGGGAGCGAUUAUGAACACUUGUCCAGCUUGUUGUGAACUAGUGGAUAGCGGAGGUCGGAAUGUCCUUCACUAUGCUGCCUUAACUCUAAAAGGAGCACUUACAUCUAUGUCUUUCCCUCGAUUGAUUCCUAAAUUUGACAAACUUAUAUACGAGAAGGAUAACAAUGGAAACACACCAUUGCAUCUAUUUGCUGCUUUCGGCAGUUAUCCCCAGAAGUUUCUGAGUAGUGAUUGUAGACAUGUGUACAAGAAGAUGUGUGGCCUUAACAAGCAAAACCUCAGCAUUGAUGACAUCUUGGAACGAAAUUUUCCUGAAGAAAAGGUAAUUCCCUCUAUUUGAUUUUUUAACGAGUCGCACUCGUACACGCGAAAAAGUCUUUGCAUUUGAAAAAGCUCGCUAACUUACCAAAAAAAAUUAAAUUUAAAUUGUCAGAGGAAUGAUGUAAGAUUAUUUUCAUAACUAUCAAAGGACGCAUCAAGAGAAUUUAUAAUAUUCAUUCAAUCUUGUUAAAGAAAAAAAAACUUCAACUCUAACAAUAAAUACGUAUGCACCUUUAAUAAAUCACAUCAAUCAAACAUAAAUUCACUUCGUUAUUCUCUUUUUUUUUUUAAAAAUAAAAUAAAAAUAGAAUAGAAAUCCUUUUGUCAAUAUAACAAAAUUAUACCUUCAACAUCAACACUUAUAAUUGAUUAACACUAUUUGCUUUGUCCCUAGACUGAUGUUGGUUUCUUUAUUUGUUUGUUUUAAGAUGUGUUUGAUAUUAUGGUAUAAAAUAUUUUUAAAAAUUAUUUUUGUUUUGAAAAUAUAUUAAAAAUAAUUUUUUAAUUUUUAACAUUAAAAAAUACUAAAAAGUUUCAUUUGAUUUUUUUUUCCAGCGAGACACUUUUAAAUCAUACCUAAAAACAGUUUAAAAUUAAAAAACAAACAGCCCUCUCGUAGCAACAAAAGCAUUAUAUAUUGUUGCUAGCUAAAAGAAACAAAAUUACUUGAUUUCAAACUCGCUGGUUAUGAUAUCAAACAAAGGUUGAGAGUCUACAGGUGAUAAAGGAAAAGAAAGAUUCGUUUAAUUUCAUUGCCGAAACUUGUUGCAGAAAGAGAUUUUGGAAUCAUUGAAAGAUGUACGGAGUGGACUGCUUCAACGGCCCAUAGCUAUGCUGACACUAGACGACUUCUUUAUUACCGACAGUGGAAUGGACGCUCUUAUAGUUGUAGCGGCACUCGUAGCAACAGUAACAUUUGCAGCUGCUUUCACCAUGCCUGGCGGUUACAAGAACGAAAAAGGCACUCCAGUUCUUCUUAAAAAUACUGCUUUUGCAGUCUUUGUUAUAUCAGAUGCAGUAGCAAUGGUUCUCUCAACUUCUGCUCUCUUCAUGCACUUUUCUAGGGCACUGCUUGGAAAAAGAGGUCAAGUGGAAGACGAUAUAAAAGAAACCUUCUCUUAUAGGACAUCUACUUUAACCAUAUGUGCCAUCCCAGCAAUGGUCAUCGCAUUCAUCACAGGAAGUUAUGCAGUGCUAGCUCCAUCAUUAUGGCUUGCAAUCACGACUUGUUUCAUUGGUGUAGCCUUCUUCUUCUUUGCGUGCCAGGCAUUCAUAGUUCAAUUCCGCACCCUCAUAAAAUACUGAAAAUAAACACUUCACAGCAGACUUUAAAAGAGUCUGAUAUUGAAGAAGAUUAUUGAUUCUCAUUUAGCUCGUGUUAUAAACUAUUAUAGCAUGUAAUUAUAUAGGAAAUAUUGUAGUCAUAUUCUUAUGUGGUAAUCUCCACCUUUACUAUUGUAUAUUGCCCUACUCAUAUAUAUAGAAAGGGUUGGCUAACCUAUUAGGUUAAGCCUCCUAAUCAUUCUCAACUUGGUAUCAGAGCCUCCUAAUAUUUUCUCUCUUUGCAGCCGGCCCUAAUUUUCUUCCCCAUGGACUCUCCUCCUGCUGCCGUUGAUCCAAUCUCCCCCUCCACCGGUGAUGCAUCAUCACCGGCCAGCCCUCUUCCUGCUGCUGGCUCUGCCGUUCCUCUGCCUCUUAUGGGAACACAAUCUACAAUGGUUCCUCUAUCAAACACCCACCAUGUUGUGUCGUUGAAACUUACGAACACAAAUUAUCUUUAUUGGAGAAUGCAGAUGAAGCCAUAUCUCCUUGGUCAAGGUGUUUUUCAGUUUGUUGACGGCUCCUUGCCGUGUCCUCCAUCUCAUAUGAUUGAUGCUUCGGCUGAUUCUUCUUCUGCCAUCAGCCCCUCUUUUCUUCGUUGGAAGCAACAAGAUCAACUUAUUUUGAGUGCUCUACUCUCCUCUCUUUCCGUGGAUGUGCUGCAUCUUGUAGUCGAUUGUUCUACUUCACAUUGUGUUUGGCGCACGCUUGAGAAGGCACUUGCCUCUCCAUCUAAUUCGGAUCAUGCAACUACAUGGCUCCUUUCAAGACCUUCGGCAAGGUGAUGCAUCGGUUAGUAUGUAUAUGCAGCAAGCCAAAUCGUUAUUUGACGAAUUGGCUGCUGCUGGUCGCCCAAUGUCCCUUGAAGAUUUCAAUCUCUAUGUGUUUCGUGGACUUCGCGGUGAGUUCAAAGACUUGGUAACUAGUCUCAUAACCAAGGCUGAACCGCUAUCGUAUGCUGAUCUUCAUAGCCAUCUCCUUACCCAUGAGUUUUUGCACAAAAACUCCUUUCACUCCAUGGCUGUCGGUUCAUCCUCUUCAUCACUGCUGUCUUCUUCUUCUCUGCCGCAGCAGCCACCAUUGCUGCCAACACCUCCGAAUUCUGCUUAUUAUGCCAUGACUAAUCACAGCCGAAACAGGGGACGUUCUAGAGGUAAUUGGCGCUCAAACACCAACCGAUUUCAGGCCCCAAACAGAGGUCACUCCGCUGCAGAUUGGAGGCAAAAUCAGUGGCAGAACAGGCGCACCUCUGCUGCAGAUUUUCGGCCAAAUCAGGGGCAGUGGUCUGGACAUGUGCGCUGCCAAUUAUGUUCCACUCCUGGCCAUUCAGCUCUUCAAUGCUAUCAGUUUCGCAGCAGCACACAGCAGCCCUCUGCUCACCUUGCUGUUGCGAAUGAUUCUGCUGCAACGACUUGGUUUCCCGACACCGGCGCGAAUCAACAUGUGACGCCUGAUCUUGCAACUCUAACUGAUUCUGCUCCUUAUCUUGGUAAUGAUUUCUUGCAUGUUGGUGAUGGUAAGGCCCUUGACAUAUCCCAUGUUGGACAUACUACUUUAUAUUCCCCCAAACGCUUGUUUACAUUAACUAAUGUUCUUCGUGUGCCUCACAUUACCAAACCGUUGUUAUCUGUUCAGAAAUUCUGUCGUGAUAAUCAUGUUUAUUUUGAAUUUCACGAUUCUGUGUUUUAUGUGAAGGAUCUCGUCACCAAGGAAGUUCUUCUUUCCGGUCGGAGUCAUGAUGGUCUUUAUGUUCUCUCCGAGUCCUCGGCUACGUCAGUUCCUCAAGCUUUUUGGUCUCCUUGCAUUUCCGCGACUGCCGACUUGUGGCAUCGUCGUUUAGGUCAUCCAACUCCUCGCAUUCUAAAUUUGUUAGUUUCUGAUAAUAAAAUUAUUUGUACGUCUAAACGAUCUUUUACUCAAUGUCAAGCAUGUCCAUUAGGCAAGUCAUCCCGUUUGUCAUUACGACCGACGGGUCACAAAACUUCUACCCCACUUGAAUUAAUUUUUAGUGAUGUUUGGGGCCCUGCUCCAAUGUUUUCUUCUGAUGGUUUUCGUUAUUUUGUUAUCUUUGUUGAUGCGCACACUAAAUAUAUCUGGUAUUAUCCGCUUGUUGCGAAAUCUGAUGUAUUUUCCACGUUUCAACGUUUUCAGACACUUGUUGAGCGUCAGUUUUCUCUUAAAAUUAAAUCUGUUCAAACUGAUUGGGGUGGUGAAUAUCGUAAAUUAAAUACAUUUUUUCAAACAAUUGGUAUUCAUCAUCGAUUAAUUUGUCCUCAUACUCAUGAACAAAAUGGCACAGUUGAACGUCGUCAUAGACAUAUUGUCGAAACUGGCCUAACCCUCUUAGGCCAGUGUAAUGCCCCAUUGCGUUUUUGGAACUAUGCUAUGGAAUCAUCGGUCUAUCUUAUUAAUCGCAUGCCUACUCCUGUUCUUCAAAAUAAAUCUCCUUUUGCGUGUCUGUUUCAUCGCACUCCUGAUUAUAAUUUCUACGCACUUUUGGGUGUCUUUGUUUUCCAUUUUUACGUCCAUAUCAUGCUCAUAAAUUAGAUUUUCGGUCUUCUCCUUGUGUGUUUUUAGGCUAUAGCUCGUCUCAUCUUGGUUAUCGGUGUCUUGAUUUAGAGUCUGGUCGUGUCUAUGUCUCCCGUCAUGUUCGUUUUCAUGAAUGUGUCUUUCCUUUUAAAAAGUCUGAACAGGUAACAACACCCCCGGUUCCCCCCACUCCACCUACCUAUCUUCCAUCACUGCAACCCCCUUCCUGUUUUCAGCCUCUUCCUUCCCAACUCGGCAAAACACACCCUUUGCCCCUUGCCGCAACCCCCCAGCUUGCUCCCCUGCCCGUUGAUUUAGCCGACCCUGCCUCACCACCCCACACAGCCAUACUAUCACCACGUGCUUGUCUUUCCAAUGAUUAUUGUGCAGGAACAGGUUCUGACUUGCAGGAUUCAGUAGCGGCACAACCCAGCACCUCCCCGGCUUCACCUCCUGGUCUGCAACUUUGUGUUGAUCUCUCCUCUUAUCCUCUUCAGCACAUUCCAGGUACAGGUGCUGCUACUCCAUGUCCAGCUGCUCCUAAACACCCCAUGGUUCUUCGUCCGAGACAGCCCAAGACAGCGCUGAUCACCACCACGGCAGCCACCUCUGCUGCUUCCUUCAGUCGGGUAACUUCUCCUCCCUCGCAUGAGCCACUUAUUUUUCCUGAUGCUAACAGAUAUGAGGCGUGGCAUAAUGCUAUGCGAGAGGAAAUUCAGGCCUUACGCGCAAACAGAACAUGGACUUUAGUGCCAUUUCAUCCGUCCAUGAAUGUUGUUGGUAGCCGAUGGGUCUACAAAAUUAAACGCAGAUCUGAUGGUAGCAUUGAGAGGUAUAAGGCGCGCCUGGUUGCUAGGGGCUUCACUCAGCAAGAAGGUAUUGAUUACUCAGAAACUUUUAGUCCUGUUAUCAAACAGGCAACAGUCCGCUUAGUGUUCUCCAUUGCAGUUUCGAGUGGUUGGAAAAUUCAUCAGCUUGACAUUCAUAAUGCAUUUCUAAAUGGAGUCCUUGAUGAAGAGGUUUACAUGAAACAACCUCCAGGUUUUGUUGAUUCUGCACUCCCAGGUCAUGUAUGUCGAUUGCAUAAAUCUCUAUAUGGGUUAAAACAGGCUCCGCGGGCUUGGUACACUCGUCUGAAUGAUUUUCUAUUAUCCAUUGGUUUCCGUGCUUCUAAAGUGGAUACCUCAUUGUUUAUCUUCUCGGUUGGUAGUGAUAUUUGUUAUCUUUUGGUUUAUGUUGAUGAUAUUCUGCUUACGGGUAAUAAUGGAACUCUGCUACAACGACUCAUUCAGCUACUGAGCUCAGAAUUUAAACUUCGGGAUUUGGGUGAUGUUCAUUAUUUCUUGGGUAUUGAAGUGCAGUGUACUGGUCUGGGACUUAUGCUUUGUCAACAUAAAUAUACACUUGAUAUCCUCACACGAGCUGGUAUGUUAUCCUGUAAACCAGUUGAUACUCCUAUUUCGGCAUCCAAAGCCACCAUUAUGCCAUCCAUUGUUUUCUGAUGCUACUCGUUUUCGGCAACUUGUUGGUGCUCUCCAAUAUCUCACUUUCACACGCCCGGAUAUUUGCUUUGCUGUUAACCGGGUCUGUCAAUUUAUGCAUGCUCCUACAGAAUCCCAUUGGGCUGCCGUGAAACGCAUCUUGCGUUAUCUCCGUGGUACGGCAUCACAUGGUUUACAUAUUACUCGCAGCUCUUCCUUUGCUUUACACGGUUUUACAGAUGCAGAUUCGGCAGGUAGUAUUGAGGAUAGAAAGUCUACAGGUGGUUAUCUUGUGUUCUUUGGUCAGACGCCAAUUUCUGGAAAUCGAGUAAGCAACGCACUGUUGCUCGUUCUUCGACGGAAGCUGAGUACCGAUGGCACGGCUGAAGUUAUCUGGCUUCAGUACUUGUUAACGGAUCUUCAGAUUCCGGCUCCUUCUGCUCCUAUUAUCUGGUGUGACAACCUUGGUGCCACGUAUUUGUCCGCAAACCCUAUAUUUCAUGCUCGCACAAAACAUAUUGAGAUUGAUUAUCAUUUUGUCCGAGAUAGAGUUGCGAAGAAGGAGAUUCAGAUUCGUUUUAUUUCCUCUCAGGAUCAACUUGCCGAUGUCUUCACUAAGCCACUUCCUGCUGCUUCAUUUACUGCUUUUAGAUUCAAGCUUCGGGUUGAUCCUCCACCCUCAGCUUGAGGGGGCGUAUUAUAGCAUGUAAUUAUAUAGGAAAUAUUGUAGUCAUAUUCUUAUGUGGUAAUCUCCACCUUUACUAUUGUAUAUUGCCCUACUCAUAUAUAUAGAAAGGGUUGGCUAACCUAUUAGGUUAAGCCUCCUAAUCAUUCUCAACUUAAACUAUCUUCUCGUCAUCUUCUUGAUGGCAUCAGCUGUAACGUUGGCUUUAUUUAUCAAUAUAUUUUACCUUGCUUUUCACGAGUACAAUGAUCGAAAAAUUCAAUUUUGGCACUUGGAAAAUGCUAACACCUUCAAUAUAGAGACCAUAGAAUGAAGGCUAACAAGUUCACCAUUGAUUCUAGAUGAAUGGAAUUAGCCAUAAUUUUCGAAGGACUUGAAUUUCUAAUAUAUAUAUAUUGAUUAGAAUUUCCAUUAAUUGCUGAAUGGUAAUUCAGACUUCAAUUUCUACACAUUGCAACUUCAUUCACCUUCCCAACUUUUUGUUUAACAGAAAUCAUUCUCAUGAAAUGCAAAACAUUCUUUUACGAGAACAAAAAUAAAUAAAUAAAGUAACAAAGGAAAAUUUUACGACAGGCACAAGAAAACCAUAAUAAAAAAAGGAGGAAAAUGGGUAUAUAAAACAGCAGAACAUAAACAUUUUGAGAAAUUAAUGAAUUAAUGAUGUAGUGCUAUGAUUUAACUCCGAUCUAGUGGGUUAUGAAGGACAUGAAGCUGAUGACAACACCCAAUGUCUGAGUUUUUCAGACCCUAAUUCCACUGACAAGGUGUAAAGAGUAGUUAAAACUCAAUUUGAACAACGGAGACAAAAAAAUAAAAAUCAAUUUAUGUUUAUAUUUAGUGUGUUUUAAGACUAAAUAAUUUGUUUUAUUUUGCAUUUGGUUAACAUUAGUCAAGACACAAGUAAAAAAUAAUUAGUGGAAGAAUUAAUCUAAUUUGAACCCGAUCAAAAAUUCAAGUUGACCUACUAUAAAGUUUACCUGAGAUAAAACACAAAUAAAAAAUUUUAAUUUGUUUUUUAUUAAGAUAAAACAAGUAAUCAAAAUCUUGUCUUAUUUAUAUUGAGUUUUAAACAAUUAAAAUAAUUAUAUUUAUUUUUAUAUUCACUCAGAUUAACAAUGAACAUAAUGUAUGAAUCAAACCUUAUAUCGAAAUCGACUAUUAUUUAAAUUUUUAAAUUAUAAUAAUUAUUAUUUUUAUUUUUAUAUUAAUAUAGAUCAACCCGGUAAAUUCUUAUGCAAAAAAUUUAACAAUCUAGCUUAUUCUACUCCUUUUAAUAAACAAAUAUUUCUUCACUGGAAUGGCCUUGAUAGAACAAAAAAUAAAUACUCCAAAAAACUUCACAAAAAGAUUAUACCGUCCAAUCCAUUUUUACAGCAUAUCAAAAACACUACAUAAAUUUCAAAAUCAAAUUACCUCAGUUAAAUCCAUUAAUAUCAUCGUAAUGUAGCUUCCACCAAGUAGGUUCUCCUUGAUCAUGGUUAUUAUCAUCAUCCUGUGCAUUCCUCCAUCUUUAACCACCAGACAGGAGCAGUUUUCAGUGAUGAAAACCCUCAUGGUUGUUCUAUAAUGUGAACAACGUAGUAUAAUUAUUCUUACUAUAUAUGUACUUAUACUGCUUUGUUUUUCGUGUACUAAUUUCCUUUUCACUUUAUGUUUUGUUAAACCUUGUUCACAUGAAGCUAUAAAAUAUAGACAAGAAAUGCCUUUUUUUCCUUAUCAUUUUGCAACUUAUAAAUUGUUUUAUUCUGAUUUGUGCCCUAGGCAUGGUAUUGUCUGCUGAGAAAACCAAGCUCCAUUGAUCUUUUCUUUUUACUAAAUUAAAUCGCCACCGAUUGCAAUUAAAAUUCUGAUCUACAUUAAUAUCAUUCGGAUAGGAUUAGGAUGUACUCCACCACAAACUCUAAUAAAUCUUUUCCAAAGAAGAGAUGCCUUGGAAUGUUUUAGAAAGGGGAUAAUAUUCUCAUAUGCACCCCUAACUUAUUCGUUAUUACCCUUUCUGAGUUGUGUCCCUAAACUACAUAAUUAAGCAAUUAGGUCCAGAAUGUAUCUAGGAAUUAUCAAUUUAAUCUUUGUAAAGGGAUUGUGAUAGGUAUUUAUGGGCUAGGUUUUGGUAUUAUCUAUAUUUGAAUUCAAACCCAAAAUAUUAUAAGUCAAAAUUUGACGGGUGUAAAUUUUGAAUACCAAAAUCUAAUUCAUUAAGGUUUUAGUUAUCGAUUUAGAUAAUUAUUAUCUAAUUGAUACAGUAAGGUUUGUGAAAACUUGAAGUUUUGAUAUGUAUAUAAGAAUCUAUCACAAGCACACUAUUUGGAUAACUUAACAUAUAUUUUUAUAAAUUGGUACUGAGAUAGCACUAGGUUUAAGAAGAUGCAUGGCCAUGCUAUACUACAGUACGUAGUGGCUUUAAACCGAAAUAAUAAGAGAUAAUUUGAUGGUUGGUUGAGAUUAAUUUUUUUUUAAAAGAUUCUACAAGUUUUUUUUUUGUGGAAAGCCAUUAUGUCAUUCAUUGGACUAUUAGAUCUUCAAAAAUUAGUCCUAAAAGUUGCUACUUAGACUAAUUUUGUUGUUUUUUUCUAGAUUGUUUUGGAUUUAUUAUUUUAUUUAAGAUUUUAUGUUAGUUUUCUUUAUGAUUUUGAAUUCUAAAUUCUUUUUAUAGAGAUAGGGUUUUCUAGUUUAUUUAAACAUCUUGUAAACAUUUUAAAAAAAACUUAAUAUAUACUUAAUUUUUAGAGAAUAUAACCGUAUUUCAAAUUCAAAUCUACAAUUUAUUUUCUUAUAAAAAUUCUAUUAUCAAAAUCUUGAAGUGGUGGGGGUAAUGACUGCCUCAUAGUAUACAUCAUAAGUGGAUCAGAAAGGGACUCAGACAAGUGUUUUUUUUUUAAUCAAAAUUGAUGUCUUUUUCGGUUUCACUUGCAAACGGAACACCUAUCUCCAAAACCCAUGUUUGCAAAAAUGUAUGCUAUGCGUCAAAAGAUGAAAUCUAUGUGCGAUAGGAUUAGCAAUUUACCUGAUGCACUCCUCCUUCACACACACUCUUUUCUGAGAUGCCAAGGAGUUUUGAUUGGAUACAUUGUUCACUCUUUAUUUCAAAUCAAUUCAAUUUUUCUAAUUUCUAUUUUAGUUUUCUUUAUUUUUAUCCAAUAAACUUUAUUUCUAUUAGAAAAUAUUUGUUUUUCAAAUUAAAAAAAUUAACAUUAAAAGAAAAUUUUAACUAAAAAUAUAUUUUUUUCCCGAGAAUUCAAAUAACUAUCUUUAUUAAUGAAUAUUCAUUUUUAUUUUUAUAUAAUUAAAUAAAAAACAAAAAGCAACCAUGUUAUUAGAUUAAAUAUUUGCAUUUGCAUUUUUUUUAUUUUUUACAAAAAAAAAAAACCCAACUAUUUUAGCCUUUAAUUAGAUUAACCAUUUGAUUUAUUAAUUCAAAUAUUUUUAAUUCGUUUUUUUUUUUUGAAAAUACAAACACCAUCAUUUCAAUUUUGAAUUUAAAAAUUUUAUGCUAUCAAAACACAACUCCACAGAUUCAUGGCUUCUAGUUUUUUUUGUUUUACAUUACAACUUAGUUUGGAAUGUUACCCGUAACUAGUUGGUAUCUAAUGUCUUUAACUGUUUCCCCAUGAAUUUGUAUCUCAAGAGCAGUCUGGUUUGUCAUGUACAUGCACUUCAUGGAAAAUGCUAGCUAGCUGGCACAGGAGCCGAAGAAGAACGAAACUUGGCAUAUUCAUCUUUCAAAAAAAAAAAAAACUUGGCAUAUUAAUUCCACUUUUCAGAAUAAGCUGUGCUUAAGAUUUGUUCUUUAAAAUAUCUUUUAUUUAAAAAUAUAUUAAAAUAAUUUAUUUUUUAUUUUUAAAAUUUUAUUUUUAAUAUAUGAUUUAAAAUCAUAAAAAAUAUUAGAAAAAUUCAAUAAUACUUUUAAAUAUAAAAACAAACACUUUAGAAGUACAAUUUUGAUUAAUAAACAAACCAUCAAAGCAAAUUGUACUUGGAAAAUAAAUUUAUCUGUCCCUAAAUUUUAGUCAUGAAUAGGAAAAUGAAAAUAAAUAAAUAAUGUCAGAGUUUUUAACCACUUCACUUGUGAUGCACAAUUGCACAUUCAUUACAAUAAUAAAUAAAAAAUUGACAAUUGAUUUGGCAACCAACCACAUGAUUUUUAAACAUAUGACGUCACCAAUUUUUUUCAAAAUCAAUAAGAAUGUUUUAAAAAAUACAUCUGAAUUUGAUUUGAUAGAAAAUUUAGAAUUUAUUGUUUCACUAUGACAUCACGUCUUUUACAUUCUUUAAAAUGAACCUGAACACUAAAUACACAAGGAAGAAGAAGCUCAGACCAAUUAGACAAGUGCUCAUGACAAGCCUUAAUGAAGAUUCUAGAACUGCAUAUGUGCCUCUAACGAAUGCAAUAAUCAUUGUACCCAUGCCAAUCAUGGUCGACAACGUGGCAAACAAAAAUAAUUUCCUAGUGGUAUACUUAUUUAUCACUUUAUACUUAUCCACUUCAAGACCAUGAAUCAGCGAAAUCAAAAAGUGGAUAAAGACAACAAAAAUGGAGAGCAUCAUUGACAUUGCAUCUGAGAUGACAAAUACUAUAAAAACAGUUUUUUUAGCUAGAAUAGCAGUGCCUCGGUCACUCUUGUAACCGCCAGGUAGGGUGAAUGCUGCUGCAAAUGUUACGGUUGCUAUCAGCGCCGCAACAACUAGAUGAGACUCUCUUGCUUUACUCAAAGCUUCCUCUUGCUCUUUGUUUUUCUCUUCCUCUUUCUCUUCCAAAACAAAGGGACAGUAAUCAAUCAGUCCACUGCAAACAUCUUUAAGGGAUUCUAGGAUCUCUUUCUGUAAAAAUAUAUAUUUUGAGUAAAAUAUGUUAAGAUAUUAAAAGAGGUUUUAAAAGUAAUUCUUUAUUACUUUCUAGAUUAUUUUUUUAAGUGAAUUUUUGUAAAAAAAAAAAUUCAUAUUAUCUUGCAUUUAAAUUUUAUUAAUUACAAUAGAAAUAGUGAGAUUUGAAUUUAUAAUUGUUUGAUCAAUAAGAUUGUAAUACUAUUUUAAAAAAACUAUCUCAAUCUAAGAAUAUAAACAAAUAAUCCAUCAUUUUUAGCUAUUUAACAUAUAUCAUAUAUCAACUUCCGAGCCUUUGUUUUUGUUUCCACAACUAGUUUGUUUGCAAUCAAAUCCUUUGUGUUACAAAAACUAAUUUGGUUGAAAUUAAACCGCAUGCUUUCCAUUAGUCCAAUUAUCCCCAAAAAGAAAACUAAGAUGUGUGUGUUUGGGGAUGCAUUAAUUAUCACAACAGUUAAUUCAUAGAGGAUUGAUUACUCGUAUCUCUGCAAAAUUUCCGAAAUAUAUGUCGUCGACCCUUAGCUUUCGCUUAUUGAGACCAAUUAGAUGGAAGGGCGUGUUUCCUUUGUCAUCCUUCUUCGUUCCAAGUCUUGCAAGUAAUGGAAUAUUCUCCAGACAUUCCUCGAAUACUGCUAUAUCUUUACUUCCAGAGCAUAGUGAAGGGCAUUCCAGCCUCUGUUAUCAACUAGCUCACAACAAGCUGGACAUCCAGAAACAAUCUCUUCCAUUACGUUUACGUGUCCUCGAAUGGCUGCAAUGUGAAGAGCUGUUCUCUUCUUCUCUGUUUCAGCAAUGUAGGCCGCGGACGCAUCAUAUUCUAGUAAUACUUCCACUAUACGAUUAGGCAAUAUUAAAUAAUAGGCAGCGUAGUGAAGUGGUGACCAGCCGUUCUCAUCGGUUGUUUUCGUCAACGUUUUUUCUUUUUCUAACAAUUUUCUUGCUGUCCCUGAAACCAACAAAACAAGCAAUAAAAGUUAUCCUUCAUGAACAACAGUGAUUUCACUUAUGCCCCGUUUUAUAAUUUCUUUUAGAAAAGUGGUUUCUUGCAAAAUAUUUUUCUAAAAAAUAAAUUAUUUUUCAAUGUUUUGUAGCAUCAUGAAAAAUAAAUUAAAAAAUAUUUUUCAGUAUUUGGCUAUAUCAUUAAAAAUACGCUAGAAAAAAAAUGGUUAAUAUUUUUUUUUCAAGUUUAAUAAAAUAAUGAGAAGCAAAUUUUAUAAAUUAAAAAGUUGAAUGAGAAUAAAAUUUAAAAAUAUAUAUAAUUUCAUAAAUAAUCUCAAAUAAAAUAAAUAACAAUCAAGAUAAUAAAGAUCAAAUCUAAAUAAUAAAAAAAUAGAAAAAUAAUAAAAUUUAAAAAAAUUAUAAUUUCAUAAAUUAUUUCAAAUAAAAUAAAUAACAAUAAAAAAAUAUGGACAAAAUCUUAUAGAUACAAAAAAAUCCAAUUAAUGAUAAGAGAAAAACAAAUAACAAUGAUAAAAAUAAGGAUCAAAGUUGAUAUAAAAAUCAAAUUAAAUCAAAUUUUAAGAGAUGAAAUUUGAAAAAAAAAAUUCAAAAUAAAAUAUAUACCAAUCAAAAGUUUGAGGAUCAAAUUUGAUAUAAUCAGUAAAUAACAUAAUAUUUCUAAAUUUUCAAAAUAAUAUUUCUAAAAUAAUAUUUCUAAAGGACCAAGUUUGAGGACCAAUUCAAAAUAAUAUUUUUAAAGUUUGAGGAACAAAUAUAUAUAAUCUAUGUGAAUUACUAUAUAUCCAAUUCUUAAACUCACAAAGUUUCUUUUUAAAAAAAAAAAAGCUAAUUAUGAAGCAAACACGGAUAUAUAAAAUCAAAUAUAUGUGGAUUUUAAAUUAUAGUUUACACUAUUAUAUAUAAAUUAUUUAAUUUUCCAGACUUGAGCACAAAAUCCUACCACCAGCUCCCUCCCUGAUUGCCUCGUGUAGAGCAGUUCUACCAUUAGGGCCGCCAUAGUCCACUGAAAUGCAAUUAGUUAGGAUUUCACCGAUCACCAAAGUACCCCUGGAAGCAGCAAUAUAAAGUGGAGUUUCUCCAUGAACAUUGGCGGGAUAUGAAAACUAAGGGUCCUCUUUAGUCAAUAUUUCCACCACAUGGCUCCGCCUAUUUCGAGCUGCCUCGUGCAACGCUGUAUCUCCCUCUUCAUUGGUCAUCCUCAACAUCUUUUUUGCUUCUGUUACUCCGCUCUUCGGAUCUGAAGGUAGAGCUUUUGCGAGGUCAAUGAGGACUCUUACCACGUUGGAAUGACCAUAUCUUGCUGCAAAAUGGAGUGGGAUUUCACCUUUCUUAUUGGCUUGGAAUAACAGUGGUGGACACUUUUCAAGAAUUAUUUCAACAAAAUAAGUGGAUUCCGAUUCACUGCUUUGGUUUCCCAAGUAGACAUGAAGAAUGGUGUUCUCGUCUGGAGUCGAUAACUGAUCAAGGCAGGUUUGAUAUUUCUCAAUGGGAUCGAUAUUGCCUGCUUCUGCAGCUUUGAACAAGACAGGAUCCAUACUAUUUUGAGUUUGGCUCUGCGGCUGGCGUUUUAUUGAAAACGCAGCGCGCAGCCAUUUGGUUAAAGAAAAAAGCAUUUUACUGUUUACUAGGCUCCACUUAAAUUCUGCGUUUCCAACGCAGGGAACGGAAAGCAGCUAUUUCAUGCUUUUUUGUUACUGUUCAUGUUAAUUGCACUGUUAAUGAACAGUGGAACUAACAUGAACAUUAUAUAGUGUACUGUUCAUGGAACAGUGCAGGAGAGCUGCACUGUACACUUAACCCCAGUGAACAGUGCAAUUCUCUUGCACUGUUCACUUGCCUGCGUGCCUUUUUUUUUUCUUCUUUUUAACAUUUUAAAAAAAAUAAAUUAGUUUAUAGUGAAAUUUAUACCUGAUAAUAUUUUAAAAGCAUUUUGAAGUUUUAACCAAACACAUUAAACUAUUUUUUCUUUAACUUCAAUUUCAACCAUAGUUUUAACCAAACACCUAUUUUUUCAAACCAAACUCAACUAAAAGUACUUUUAAUAAAACAACUUUUUUUAAAUCACAACCACAACAACUAUCACAAUACCAAACACACUCUUUGUAGCAUAGAGAAACUCACUAAAUGAAAUUUAAGCUAAUGAAGGGAGGAAAAACCACUAUGGCACAAAGGUUAGAGGUUCCACUCCUCAACUGAUCACAAGCUGCUGAUUUCUGUUUGUUGCAUCCCUGGAUAAAGGAGUAUUUAAAUAGCGUGUUAGAUGUUGUUUUUUAAUGUUUUUUAUUUGAAAAUAUAUUAAAUAAUAUAUAUUUUUUAAAAAAAAUUAGUUUUCAUAUCAUGACAAUAAAAUUAUUUAAAAAACUUAAUUUAAAAUAAAAAAACGUUUUUACCCUUUGAGCAGAAACACAGAUUAUAGUGUUUGGUUUGAAAAAAAAAAAAACCUUAAUUUUUAAUAGUGGGUACACCAAAAGCAUCUUUUACAAUUUUUUUUUUCCCCUGUGAUUCACUUGACUGAUUGAGCUGUAUCCUUCUCGCUUUUUAUUGUUGAUAACUUAAACAGACGAAAAUGACCUCCUUCUUCCUUCUCCUCAAUUGAGAGACAAAUCAAGCUAUCAUCAAGAAAACUAGAAUAUCGAUCAUUCUUGAAGGGAUCGAUAUUGCCUUCUUCCGCAGCUUUGAUAUAUCAAAUUAAAAUUAUCUAAAAAUACAAAACAAAUUAAUUUAUAUCCAAAAAAAAUUCAAUUUUUUUUCACAUUUUGAGAAAAAACACAGAUUAUACCACAAUUGUCUAUUUGUUCUAUUUGGCUUUUUUUUUUUUUAAUUGGAACCAUAUAUUUUAAUUUUGAAGUGUUUUAAAAUGUCAUUUCGGGGGUUGUACAACUACAAAUUACUAUCAAGUUGGUGGCUGCAUUAACUAGCUACUAGACAAAUGGUAGGAGAUUUAGUGUUUACUAGUUGGAUGUCUACUGGCGGACUCACUUUUUAUUUUUAUAAAAAAUAAAAAAUUUAUAAUAUAAAAAAUAAUAUUUUUUAAUAUUUUUAAAAAUAUAUUAAUUAUUUUAUUAAUAAUAUUAAUUAUAAUAAAAAUAAUAUUUUUUUAUAACACAAAUAAUAAUAUUUUUAAUAUUCAUACUAUUAAUCAUAAUAAAAAUAAUUAUAUUUAUAACAUAAAUAAUUAUAUUAAGAAUUUCAAGGAUGAUUAUAACACAAAUAAUAAUAUUUUUUACAUCAAUAUUUUGAGUUAUAAUAAAAAAAUAAUAUUUUUAACACAAAUAAUAACAUUAAAAAAACUAACGUGGGGUUGGAUGUGGACGUGGUGACAUCCAGCUUAACAUGAGGUUGGGCAUUGACGCAUUCAGAGUCAACAUGGGGUGGGUCGGGGACGCGUCCUAAUCCAACUUGUGGUCGGGCACGAAUAUUUCUAGGCCCAACCUGGAGUUGGUAAGAUUGUGUCCCCGCACGAGGGCGUGUGCCUUGCUCAUGCCAGGACAAGGUCAAAGGCAAGCCAGCCCCAACACCACGUGGCGUGUGGCCUGCCCUAACACAUGGACAGGUCAACCCAAACGCCUGGUGUCCUCACUUGGGGGCGUGGGUCUGGCUGACAUCUUGAGCAGCCUCACCAAAACUUCAAAUGACAAUUUUCUCCUUAACUAACACUUCAAUGUCAAAUACAUCUCAUAAAAAAUAUAUCCCCACCCCUCACUCGCUGCCCUUGCAACUCUUUAUGGCAAGGUUGAGCUGUUAUUAUAGUACUCCAAUCCAUAGUGCUCUAAGUCUAGGUAAACAGUAAGAGGAGCACUGAACCCUUUUAGUAUAUAGUGUAAUUUGAUAUUAUAAUUAAUUGUAUUUUUUAAAAAAUAUUUUUUGUUUGAAAAUAUAUUAAGAUAAUAGUUUUUAGAUUUUUUUAUUUUUAAAAUCAAUACAUUAAAAUUAUUAAUGAAACAUACUAAUAAAAACAUAAAUUUGAUUUGUUUUAAAAAAACUCUUUUAAAAAUAACAGUGGUGGACACCUUUCAAGAAUUUUAUCAACAAAAUCAAUGAAUUCCGGUUCACUGCUUUGGUUUUUCAAGUAAACAUGAAGAAUGGUGUUCUCGUCUGGUGUCAAUAACUGAUCAAGGCAGGUUUGACAAUUCUCGAAGGUUCCACCCCUCAACUGAUCACAAGCUGCUGAUUUAUGUGGUUUGUUGCCUCCCUGGAUGAAGGGGUAUUUGAGAGAGUGUCAAAUAUUGUUUUUUUUUUUUUAAUAUUUUUAAUUUUAAAAAAAUAUUUUUUAUUUUAAAAAAAUAUUAUUUUUAAUAUCAUCACAAUAAAAUUAUUUAAAAAUAUCUAAAUUUUUUCUUUAUGUUUAUGUUUUGAGCACAAACACGGAUUACAGUGUCUGGAUAAAACAAAAAACUUAGUUUUUAUAAGUGGUCUUUUACGAAGCUUUUUUAUUUCCUGUGGUUCACGUGACUGACUGUGCUGUAUCGUUCUUGCUUUUAACAGUUAAUAACAUAAACAGAAGAAAAUGAGCUCCUUCUCCGUUCUCCACAAUUGAGAGACGAAAAAAAUUAUAGCAUUCUUAGUGCGCCCAAUAAAACCUUCAGCAUCCAUAAAAUCAGAUCUUAAUUGCAUGACUCUGAGCAGUGGCGGAGCCAGGAUUUUUUAAAUGAGGGGGCAAAUUACUAACAAAUAUUUGAUAUUAUAUAUUAUAUAUUAUACAUACAUGUGUUAUAUAUAGAAAUUAAUUUGAAAUAUAUAUACCAACUCAAGUUAAGCAAAAUUAAUUUAAGAAUACUUUUAAAAUAAAAAAACUUACAUUAUAAUUGUUCUUUUCGAGAUUUAAUAUUUUAAAACUGUUUCAUAAUGAUUUUAUUUUUAAUCUCAUUAAAAAUAUCUUUCUCAAUAUAUAUAACAAAUUUUAUUUAUUUAUUUCUAAAUUUUUCAAGGAUUGAGAAAGUUUUUGGCAGUAAUUUUAUGCUGACAUAUAGUACAUAAUAUCUAAAAUCAUAGCUUAAAAGGAUUGUCAUAAAUUAAUGUUGUUCUUGCUAGCUUGUUGUUUUGUACAAGUGAAUUAAACAUACAUAUUAAAUAUAUAUUUUUUAAUUUAUUUAUUAUGUCCUUAAUUUUUUUAGUUCCUGUAUUUCAUUUUUAAUCAUUAAUAAAUUUAUUAUUAUCAUUUUUCAUAUGAAAUUCAUAAUAAAUACUACCAGUUCAUCAAAACUCAUUUCAUUUCAUAUCUAUUAGCAUAUAAUAUUAUCCAUACACAUAUUAAUUCAACAAACCCAUAAAUUAUUAUAAACCCUAACAUUUUCAAAUAAAACUAAAAUUAUAUAAUAAAAUAAAUAAAAAAGUAAUUUGGAUAUUGAUUUAUCUACUAUUAAUUUAUAUAAAUCAUUUAAAAAAAGUAACAAUUUUAUACCAUGAAAUAAUUAAAGUGGAAUCAAUAGUAGCAUUGAUGAAUCGGACUAUCAAAGAGAGGACCAAAGACAUUCAUCUUUGUGCUUUUUCCUCGCCAUCAAAUGCUUCUCUUGCUGUGGAGGGUUUCUAAUUAAUUGGGAGGGGGAGGGGGCAAUUGCCCCCUCUUGCCCCUACGUGGCUCCGCCACUGACUCUGAGCCAGAGGAUACAAAUUCAAAGCCAAAGGUGAUACAAGAAACGCAAUCAAAUUUUCCCCAACGCCAAGAGAAAGGAAAUUAAGUGGUCCAGCUCUAACCAUAAGAAAAACGAGUGAAGACAAAAAAGAUGCAAUUAAGUAGGGAAGAGAAAUUGACGUCGAGGAAGACAAGCUAGGACAAUCAUUAUGAGUGUCUUUAUGUUCAAGAGCAGCUGCAACACACGAAGAAGGCCAAGCUACUUCAAAAAUUGAACUUUCCACGAAGGUUGUCAGUCAAAUUUAAAUUUUAGACUUUGGAUCCUAGGCAAGGAUUAAAGGAACGGUUGGUAUGCAUCACUGUCAUAGGGUUAACAUUAAUCGUUUCUUAGUUAUUUGGAGAUUUUUAUUUAUUUGAUGCUCAUAAUAGUUCCUUUUUAAUUGUUGAUAUUAUAAUUGUUUUUUUAAUUAAAACUCUCGGAAUUUGUUUAACAUUUGAAGAUAGGUUAUUAUAAAACUAAUUAUCAUAUCACACUUAAUAAGUCACUUUAAUAUUAUGCAUCUAGUAGUCACAAUUUUUUCUUUAAUUUAUAUCUAUCAUAAAUUUUUAUUGCCAAUUUUAAGAAAUUCAAUAUAGGUUAAAAUUUUCUAGCAGGCAUCUCGAGUUUCUCAAGUUGGCUUACUUGGCGCAGGCGAGGCAAGGCAUCCUUGGAUCCGAGUUUGAGGCCUAUCGCCCCCUCCUGUAAACAAAUUGUUGGCAACUUCCCUGAGACGCAAAUAUUGGUUGAUUGCUCCACUUGUGAAUCUCGGUUGCAAAUGAACCCCUUUUUUUUUCAAUGGUGAGUUGAUUUGCCAAGUUACUGAGUUGAUUUGCAAACCCGUCCAGCUACUGAGUUGAUUUGCCAAGUUUAAUAACUAUACUAUAAACAGCUUCUGCACGUUCAAUGAGGAGUUUUACCACAUUGGAAUGGCCAUAUCUUGCUGCCAAAUGGAGGGGGGUUUCUCCUUUUUUAUUGGCUUGGAAUAACAGUGGUGGACACCUUUCAAGAAUUUUAUAAACAAAAUCAGUGGAUUCCGGUUCCGUCGUUUGGUUUCUUAAGUAGACAAGAAGAAUGGUGUUCUCGUCUGGAGUCAAUAACUGAUCAAGGCAAGUUUGACAAUUCUCAAAGGGAUCGAUAUUGCCUUCUUCCGCAGCUUUGUACAAGACAUGAUCCAUAUAGAUGAUGCUAUUCAUUUUCUCAGAAGAAUCCAUAAAAUCAAAUUCACUCAUAACCAAAAAAAAUCAAAAACUUUUGUACGUUUUGAGCAGAAACACAGAUUAUACCACGAUUGUCUAUAUUUUAUUAUAGUUGGAGUUUUAUUUUUUCAAUUGGAACCAGAUAUUUUAAUUUUGAAGCAUUUUAAAAUAUCAGGUUGUACUACUACAAGUUACUAUCAAGUAGGUGGCUGCAUUAACUAGCUAUAGUAGAUAAAAUUGCAUGAGAAUUAAGUUUAUUAUAAUUUUAAAAAAUAUUUUUUAUUUAAAAAUAUAUUAAGAUAUUAUUUUUUAUAACUUGUUUUUUAAAUCAAUACAUCCAAACUAUUAAAAAAUAAUAAUAAAAACGUAAAUUUAAUUUGUUUUUAAAAAAUAUAUAAAAACAAAAGCAAUCUCUUUGUUAUGGUUAGAAUUAUCAAGGACAAUGUAGUUAAUUUUAAAGAUCUGUUUAAAAGUAUGAUAAAUAUUAUUUUUUAAAGUAUUUUUUAUUUAAAAAUAUAUUAAAAUAAUAUUGUUUUAUUAAUUUUUAAAAUUUAAUUUUAUAUCAUUUAAAAACAUAAAAUAUAAUUUAAUUUCAAACUAAAAAAAUUAAAAAUUUUAGAAAAAUAUUUCACACAUCUAAGACUUGAAGAUAAGGAGACUGUGGUCCAGCUCUAACCAUAAGAAAAACGAGUGAAGACAGAAAAGAUACAAGUGGGGCAGAGAAAUUGACGUUGAGGAAGACAAGCUAGGACAAUCAUUAUGAGUAUGUUUAUGUUCAAGAGACAAGAAGGUCAAGCUACUUUAAAAAUUGAACUUUCCACGAAGGUUGUCAGUCAAAUUUAAAUUUUAGACUUGGGUCCAAGGCAAGAAUUAAAGGAACGGUUGGUAUGCAUCACUGUCAUGAUAAAUAGGGUUUACAUUAUUAGUUUCUUAGUUAUUUGGAGAUUUUUAUUUAUUUGAUGCACAUAAUAGUUUCUUUUUAAUUGUUGAUAUUAUAAUUAUUUUUUUAAUUAAAACUCUUGAAAUUUGUUUAACAUUUGAACAUAGGUUAUCAUAUCACACAUGAUAUGUCACUUUAAUAUUAUGCAUCUAGUUGUCACAUUUUUUUCUCUAAUUUAUAUCUAUCAUAAAUUUUUAUUGCCAAUUUUAAGAAUUUCAAUACAGGUUAAAAUUUUCUACCAGGCAUCUCGAAUUUUCCCCGUCGGCUUACUUGGCGCAGGCUAGGCAUCCUUGGAUCCGAGUUUGAGGCCUAUCGCCCCCUCCCGUAAGCAAAUUGUUGGCAACUUCCCUGAGACUCUUUUAACCAUGUGACGUGAAACUUGUAAGAGUAAUUUGUAUAUUGAUGGAGUGUAGGUACUGAUGAGAAAAAUGCUCAGUAAUUACUGCAUUUCUUGUUCCGCAUACUGGAAAUGUUGAUGAAAUUGUUGUUUUGUUCAUUAUAAUUGUAAUAUCAUGAAAUUGCAGUGCUGUCUGGGGAUCAUGUUAUAUUAUAUGGUAUCUUUUCAGCAUGUCACUCAAAACCAAUUGGACUACCCUAAAAAUUAUAUUAUAUACAUAUGAUUUAAUGAACCCAAUUGUUAAUAAACGUUUCUUGACAGUAAUAACAUGAAUUCAGGUUGUAUAUACGAAACUUGAAUAAAAGAAAAAAGUUCAAUAUUGGAGAGGAUCUUGCCAAUUUUCCAACUUAACACCCAGUCCUUGGACUCAGAUGAGAUCACGUAAUGAUCUUAUACACUGAUGGCAAGCCCGAUAAAGAUUCUAGAAUUGCAUAUGUGACUGUGAUGAAUGCACUUUACCACAACCAAAAAACAAACAAAUAAAUAAAAUUAUAGCAUUCUUAAUUAGUACGCCCAAUAAAACCUUCAGCAUCCAUAAAAUCAUAUCUUAAUCGCAUAACUCUGAGCCAGAGGAUACAAAUUCAAAGCCAAAGGUGAUACAAGAAACACAAUCAAAUUUGCCCCAACGCCAAGAUAAAGGAAAUUUCAAUCACCCCUUCUUGCUAGUCUACACUGUCAUCACCUCGUACCAAUUUUGUUUUAGUUGGCGUUUAAUUUUUAGUUGGUAUUUUAAUUUUGAAGUGUUUUCGAAUUUCGAGGUUGUAGUAUUUUAAAGUUACUAUCAGGUAAGUGGCUGCAUUAAUUAGCUACUAGACAAAAUUGCAUGAGAUUUGGAGAGUGUUUCGGAGUGCUUUUCAAAAGCAUUUAUAAAAAAAUUUGAAAAUUUUUUAUUUUUUAUUUUGAAUUAAUAUGUUUUUGAUGUUUUCAAAUCAUUUUGAUAUGCUGAUCUCAAAAAUAAUUUUUAAAAAAUAAAAUAAUAUUAUUGACAUGCUUUUUUGAGUGAAAAACACUUUGAAAAGCAACAACAACCACACUCUCAAACACGUUUUUGAUGAAUAUUUGAACUAUUUUUUAAAUGUUUUUUUAUAUAUUAAAAUAAUAUUUUUUGAAAUUUUUUAUUUUAAAAUUAAUAUAUCAAAACCAUUAAAAAACACUGAAAUACAUAUAAAUUUAAUUUUUUUAAAAAAAAAAACUUUUAAAAAAUAUAUACAACCAAAAGGAAUCUCUUUUCUAUUGUUAGAGAAUAUAAUUUAGGGUGCUUGUUUGUUCGGAAUUCCAAACUUUCAUGUGUUUUUUUGCUAUUAAAAAAGUUGGUCAACGAAAAACACUUUUCAGUAAAAAACAGUUGGCUUGAUUUUCAAGAAAAUAUUUUCCUUUUAUUUUGGACGAAAAACACUUUCCAAAAGUUGUGAAAAAUUUUAAAAUAUCAUAUUAUUUGCUGAUUAUAUAAAAUUUGGUCCUCAAACUUUUGAUUGAUAUAUAUUUUGUAUGAAUCUUUUUUUUUUCAAUUUUAUCCCUAAAAAUUUGAUUUAAUUUGAUUUUUAUAUUAACUUUGAUCAUCAUUUUUAUGAUUGUUAUUUGUUUUUCUCUUAUUAUUUUUUUAAUUGAAAUUUUUCAUCUAUUAAAUUUGGUCCUUAUUGUCUUUAUUGUUACUUAUUUUAUUUGAAAUUAUUUAUGAAAAUAAAAUUAUUAUUAUUUUAAUUUCAUCAUCUUUUAAAUUUUUUAUUUGUUAAAUUUGAUCUCUAUUAUUUUGAUUAUUAUUUAUUUUAUUUGAGAUAAUUUAUGAAAUUAGAUUUUUUUUUAAUUUUAUUUUUAUUCAACUUUUUAAUUUAUAAGAUUUAUUCCUCAUUAUUUUAAUAAACUUGAAAAAAAAAACAUUAAUAAGUUAUUAUUCAGUUCAUUUUUCAUAACAUAACCAAACACUGAAAAAAAAUAUUUUUCUAUUUAUUUUUCAUUACACUACCAAAUUUCAUUAAAUAAUUUAUUUUUCAACAAUUUAAUAUUUUUUUUAAAAAACCACUUUAUAAAAGAAAAUUCAGCGCUUUAAUUUCAAACUAAAAAAAAUAAAAAUUUUAAAAAACAUGUUUAACGCAUCUGACUUUUAGAUAAGGAGAUUGUGGUCCAGCUCUAACCAUAAGAAAAACGAGUGGACAGAAAUGAUGCAAGUGUAGCAGAGAAAUUGACGUCGAGGAAGAAAAGCUAGGACAAUCAUACUGAGUAUGUUCAUGUUCAAGAACUUCUGCAAUACACGAAGGUUGCCAGCCAAAUUUAAAUUUUAGCCUUGGAUCCAAUGCAAGAACUAAAGGAACGGUUGGUAUGCAUCGUUGUCAUAAAUAAUGAGUACCACUUUUUGGUGCAGCUUUUUCUGCCACUUUGAAUUUAAGAAUAUAGUUGGCUGAAUUGCCUCUGAAUUUAUUGUAAUAGAUCAUCAACUUUAUCUUGUCUCGUAGCCUUUGUCACAUGUUCACACGGUGGAAAGUAUGAAUGCACUUGGACAAAAAUAACAGCAAAGACAAAGAACACAAGUCUAUUAUUUCCUAAGCAUGUAAUUUAACUUCUUAAGAAAUCAUCUCUAGUCAAGAAGUUACAUUUGUUUUUACUACUCUUAUUUAAUAAAAAUAUUAAACAACUAUUUCAACUUAAAAAUUUAAAUUUAUUUUUAUACUUUGUUUUACAUUUUUUGAACAUAUAAAAAUUUAAAUUGUUUGUGAAACUUCUAGAAUCAUUUUUAUUCUAUUCUCUCACAGAACUCAGACAGCUUCCUCUUCUUUAUUUAUUUUUCCAUAUUGAUGAAUUAGUAUAAAUAGGCUUACAAGCCUAGCUAGUAAAUGGAACUAGCCAAAAUAGUUACUUCUAUCAACAACCAUUUUCAAUAAACAACAGUCAUACAAGAUGAAUUCCUCUGAUCAACAAAUGAAUAGCAUCACUUACAUGGAACCAAAAUUGUACAAAGCUGCAGCAAAAGGCAACAUCAACCCAUUUAAUGAUCGUCUUACAACUUCUCUCAAUGAGCUAUUGACUCCAAAAAAGAACACAAUUCUUCAUGUGUACUUAGAAAACCAACGUAGAGGAUCGAAAUCCACUGAUUUUGUUGGCCAAAUUAUUGAUAUGUGUCCACAACUGCUAUUGCAAGCCAAUACUAAAGGCGAAACUCCACUACAUUUUGCGGCAAGAUAUGGGCAUUCCAAUGCAGUGAAAGUCCUGAUUGACCGCGCAAAAAAGCUAGCUAUAGAUCCUGAGAACGGGCCAGCAGAAGAAAAGAAUAUGUUGAGGAUGACGAAUGAAGAGCAAGAUACAGCGUUGCAUGUGGCAGCUCGACAUAUCCAAGCCCAAGUGGUGGAAAUAUUGACAAAAGAGGACCCUGAGUUUUCAUAUUCCGCCAAUGUUCAUGGAGAAACUCCACUUUAUAUUGCUGCCAAUAUGAGGUUUGUGAACUUUUUUUUUUGUCUCAAACAGAGUUUGAUACCGAUUCGAUACUAUAAGUGACCAACAUCUUUUUUUUUCUUUUAAUAUUUACUAGAUUAAUCAAUUUUUUACUAAUCUAUUUAUCAAUCUAGAAUACUAUCAUUUUAAGAUUAUAUAAAUGUAAUUGUUAAUUAAUUUUAAUUUGUACAGCUUUAUAAUGUUAAAGUAAAUCUGUUUUUUAAAUUAUCAUAAAAGAUAUUAGGAUUUUACCUGCUUAUUUUUUUUUAUGCUAUAUAUGUUAUUGAACUCGAGACAUAUUAAUUCAAUAAAAAACAGCAAAAUUUAAUGGUUUUUAAUUCUCUUUUAUAAAGCAAACUUCCCAGAAAGGCAAGAGAGUUUUGAAGGGGAAAAAAAAAUAAAAAGGAAAAGAAUUUUGAUAAUAUUAAUUAGCAUUUUUUUUUAUCUCUUAUAAAAGAGAAUAUUGAUACUUUAACACUCGUGUACAUCAAAAAAAUCUUGCUACAUCAGUAUUUAUUGGACUUAAAAUGUUAAUAAAAAUCACAUAUAUCUAAUUAUGAUUAUAUUGCUGCCAAUGUAAGGUUUAAUAGGAAGUUAAAAAGACAUGAAGAACAUAGAAAAAAAGUGAUCGAAAUCUUGAGUAGUUGCAAGUCAGUGGAAUAUUGUGGUUCUCAUGGCAGAACCGCACUACACGCGGCAGCCAUGCAUGGUGAUCAUGGUAAGAUUUUUUUCUGAACUGUAAAUCUUUGAAUUCAUAAAUUAUUAUCGGAAACCAUAACUGUGAGAAGUGUGUUCUUAUCUUAAAUUAUUUCUUAUCUGUUUGCCAUUUUAUUGUACUCAUUUAUUUUAUGUUUCUUAAAAAAAAUCUUAUUUUAACCUUUAGGAUAUUGUUGUUUUCAUUUAUUGUUCAUUUGUCAAAUUCUUCGUUUACUCUAUCACAUUUAUUUGAUAUAUAUAGAAGUUAAUAAAGGUGAAAAAAAAAACAAAAAUAUUCAUUUUAUGUUUGUUAAAUUAAAGGUUAGAUUGUAUUUAUUACUUGUAUAAUUCAUUGGAAGAUACAAGGUAAAGAAAAUACAUAUUAAGAAGACAAUGAAUUUCCUAGUCUAUUUAAUUAAGGACUUAUUUGCAUGAUUAUAUAUAAGAUUUUAGGACCAAAAUGUUCUUAUAUACGUUUGAAUGUAAGGAAUGUAUAUGACAAGUAUGUGUGGGAGAAUCAUUUCCCUUACAUAAAUAAAUAAAUAAAUAAAUAACACUAAUGAAUUAUUAGAUUAGUAAGACUAUUGGAUUCUACUUUAAAAUGAUAAUUAAAGGCUCAUAAUAAUAUUGAAUUUUAUUCUUGUUGUUUAUAGUUUUUCUUAAGAACUUUGGUCAUCUAGUUCAAAUGAAGUUGGAGUUGGUGACAUUUCCAUAUUAUUAUUUUAAAUAUGACCAAAUAAUAAGAACCAAUAAAAAUAUGAUGCAUAAACAAUAUUGAAUAGCGACUAUAAGAACCAAAUAACUUAAUUAGAAAGCAAGAAAGGGCAUUUAUAAUACAAUUGAAGAGAGAAAAAUGCCAAAUUAAAUAUUAACUUAUCACUAAAUUAGUAGCGUAGAUAACGCAUUAACUAUAAUAUUAUUCAUAUAUUACUUAAUAUGUACCAUAUUUUUUCUUAUGGUUUAUUGCAGAGACAGCAAUAAAUAUAUUACAAAGCAACGCGAGUUUGACGAGAAGAACCGACGAUGACGGGUGGUCACCACUUCACUACGCUGCCUUUUUCCCUUUUUCAUAUACUGGUUUUGUAACAGUAAUAGAACUACUAAAACAUGAUGUGUCCGCAGCCUACAUUGUUGAUUCAGAGAAGAGAACAGCCCUUCACUUGGCUGCCGUUCGAGGCAAUAUGGCAGUAAUGGAAGAGAUUAUGAAGACUUGUCCAGCUUGUUGUGAACUAGUGGAUAGCAGAGGUCGGAAUGCCCUUCACUAUGCUGCCAUAACUCUAAGAGGAGCACUUACAGCUAUGUCUUUCCCUCGAUCGAUUCCUAAAUUUGAGAAACUUAUAUACGAGAAGGAUAACGAUGGAAACACACCAUUGCAUCUAUUUGCUGCUUUCGGCAGUUUUACCCAGAAGAGUAGUGAUUGGAUACAUGCGUGCAAGAAGAUGUGUGGCCUUAACAAGCAAAAGCUCAGCGUUGAUGACAUCUUGGUAGGAAAUUUUCCUGAAGAAAAGGUAAUUCCCUCGAUUUGACUUUUUAACGAGUCGCACUCGUACACGCGAAAGAGUCUUUGCAUUUGAAAAAGCUUGCUAACUUACCAAGACAAAUUAAAUUUAAUAUGUCAUAGGAAUGAUGUAAGAUUAUUUUCAUAAAUAUCAAAGGAUGCAUCAAGAGAAUUUAUAAUAUUCAUUCAAUCUUGUUAAAAAAAAAAAACUUCAACUCUAACAAUAAACACGCGUGCACCUUUAAUAAAUCACAUCAAUCAAACAUAAAUUCACUUGGAUUGUCUCCCUUUUUUAAAAAAAUAAAAUAAAAAUAGAAUAGAAAUCCUUUUGGCAAUAUAACAAAAUUAUACCUUCAACUUCAACACGUAUUUUUAAUUGACUAACACUAUUUGCUUUGAGCCUGUUUGGCUCUACGGUUCAACCUGUGUUUUCAUAAAUUUUAAAUUUUAUUUUUUUGCUAAAAUUAAAUGCGGUUUGUAUCUUUUGAAUCAUUUUGAUGUGCUGAUAUCAAAAAUAAUUUUUAAAAAAUAAAAAAACAUCAUUGGCAUGCAUUUUGUCCCCUAGACUGAUGUUGGUUUCUUUUAUUUGUUUGUUUUAUGGUGUGUUUGAUAUUUUAAUUGAUUAAAAUAAUUUUUUUAUUUUUAAUAUAAACAUAUUAAAAAUAUUAAAACACGCUAAAAAAAUUAAUUUGAUUUGUUUCCAAACCAGACCCUUUUAAAUCAUACUUAAAAAUAAUUUAAAAUUAAAAAACAAACAGCCCUCGUAGCAACAAAAGCAAUAUAUAUUGUUGGUAGCUAAAAGAAACAAAAUUACUUGAUUUCAAACUCGCUGGUUAUGAUAGCAAACAAAGGUUGAGAGUCUACAGAUGAUAAAGGAAAAGAAAGAUUCGUUUAAUUUCACAGCCGAAACUUGUUGCAGAAAAAGAUUUUGGAAUCAUUGAAAGAUGUACGGAGUGGACCGCUUCAACGGCCCAUACCUAUGAUGAAAGAAGUGAACCUCUCUAGUACUGAGAUUGGAAUGGAGACUCGUGUACUUGUAGCGGCACUCGUAGCAACAGUAACAUUUGCAGCUGCUUUCACGAUGCCUGGCGGUUACAAGAACGAACAAGGCACUCCAGUUCUUCUUAAAAAUGCUGCUUUUGCAGUCUUUGUUAUAUCAGAUACAACAGCAAUGGUUCUCUCAAUUUCUGCCCUCUACAUAUACUUUUAUUGGGCAGUGAUUGGAAAAAGAGGUCAAGUGGAACAGAAUAUAAAAGAAAACUUCUCUGACUGGACAUCUGCUUUAACCGCAUAUGCCAUCCUAGCUAUGCUCAUCGCAUUCAUCACAGGAAGUUAUGCAGUGCUAGCUCCAUCAUCAUGGCUUGCAAUCACGACUUGUUUCAUUGGUGUAGUCUACGUCUUCUUUGCGUCCACGGCAUACAUAGUUGACGUACGCACCAUUAUAAAAUAUUGGAAAUAUUGAAGAAGAUUGAUUAUCAUUUAGCUCGUGUUAUAAACUAUCUUCUCGUCAUCUUCUUUAUGGCAUCAGCUGUAACGUUGGUUUUAUUUAUCAAGUUAAUUUACCUUGCUUUUCACAAGUACAAUGAUCGAAAAAUUCAAUUUUGGCACUUGGGAAGUGGUACUGAGCCAUAGAAUGACGGCUAACAAGUUCACCAUUGAUUCUAGAUGAAUGGCACUGAGCCAUAAUUUUCAAAGGACUUGAAUUUCUAAUAUAUAUAUAUAUAUAUAUAUAUAUAUUGAUUAGAAUUUCCAUUAAUUGCUGAACGGUAAUUCGGACUUCAAUUUCUACACAUUGCAACUUCAUUCACCUUCCCAACUUUUUGUUUAACCGAAAUCAUUCUCAUGAAAUGCAAAACAUUCUUUUACGAGAACAAAAAUAAAUAAAAAAAGUAACAAAGGAAAAUUUUACGACAGGCACAAGAAAAACCAUAAUAAAAAAAAGGAGGAAAAUGGGUAUAUAAAACAGCAGAACAUAAACAUUUUGAGAAAUUAAUGAAUUAAUGAUGUAGUGCUAUGAUUUAACUCCGAUCUAGUGGGUUAUGAAGGAAAUGAAGCUGAUGACAACACCCAAUGUCUGAGAUUUUCAGACCCUAAUUCCACUGACAAGGUGUAAAGAGUGUAGUUAAAACACAAUUUGAACAACGGAGACAAAAAAAAUAAAAAUCAAUUUAUGUUUAUGUUUAGUGUGUUUUAAGACUAAAUAAUUUGUUUUAUUUUGUGUUUGGUUAGCAUUAGUCAAGACACAAGUAAAAAAUAAUUAGUGGAAGAAUUAAUCUAACUUGAACCCGAUCAAAAAUUCAAGUUGACCUACUAUAAAGUUUACUCGAAAUAAAACACUAAUAAAAACUUUUAAUUUUUUUUAUCAAAAUAAAAUUAUUUUAAUUUAUUUUUAAUUUAUAUCAACUUAAAUUGACUUUCCUAUUGACCUUCCUCCUAACUCAUGAUUAGGCCUUAUCUCACAUUAACUCUUAGGUUAGAUUUUAAAACAACUAUAACAAAUAUUUUGAUUUAUAUAUUAAUUUUAUUCAAUUAGGUAACCUUCCUAACACGUAAUCAAAAUCUUGCAUUGAAUUAUUAUUUAUAUUGAGUUUUAUAUUCACUCAGAUUAACGAUGAACAUGAUGUGUGAAUCAAAUGUUAUAUUAUUUAAAUUUUAAAAUUAUAAUAAUUAUUAUUUUUAUUUUUAUAUUAAUACAGAUCAAUCCGGUUAAUUCUUAUGCAAAACAUUUAACAAUCUAGCUUAUUCUACUCCUUUUAAUAAACAAAAAUUUCUCCACUGGCCUUGUUUAGAACAAAAAGUAAAUACUCCAAAAAAACUUCACAAAAAGAUUAUACCAUCCAAUCCAUUUUUUACAGCAUAUCGAACACUACAUGAAUUUCAAAAUAAAAAAUUACCUCAGUUAAAUCCAUUAAUAUCAUAGUAAUGUAGCUUCCACCAAGUAGGUUCUCCCUGAUAAACAGGGACAUGGCUCCACUACACCUUCAACAAAUUGGAUUAUAUCAUCAUAGGCAAUCUUACAUUACAAUUUUGCUCAAACCAAAAAUUAGCAUAGCCAAGUCUCAAAAACCUUAAACCUCCUAAAUAUUACUUAACAUUAAAAAUAGAUAUACAAGGAAUUCAUGAAUGGAUGCAAUGUAAUAAGCUAUUCAAACUAUUUUGUAUCUAUAAAUUAAAUGGCUCAAAGUUAUAACAGCUCUAACAAUCAAGAAUUUUCAGUAGCAGAACUGGCAUUAAAGUUGUAUAUUAAUCAUCACUGCCAAAAAUUUCUGGAAAAAAGCAUAACUUUAAUCACAGAGCAAACAGAACCCAAGAUCGAUCAAUAAAACGAAAACUUGAUGAAUCCAAUCAAAACUUGAUUUAUCUCUUUGCUUCAUUGAUUUCUCUCAGAAGAGCGAUAAAUGCAAUCUAAUAAUCGCCAACAAAUUUAAUAACAUAAAACAAUCAAAACUUGAUGAAUUUGGAGGGAUGUUUUAGAGGCAAAACCAUUGACACAAAGGGCAUAAGCCCCACGUGAACACCACCAAACAAAACUCAAUCCUUGCCUCAGUGACUAGCUUAAUGUCCACCAUAGUUCUCAAAAAAACAAGCUAGGGGUACAGAGAGUCAGCAAAAAAACACAUACCCAGAUAAAAAAAAAUGAAAAAUUUUAAAAAAAAUAAGAGAUGUAGUCGUUGAUUUGACACAGAUAACCCAGGGAAAAAGGUACGAGAGGCUAAACUCAAUGGAGUCCAUAACUCGGAUUGCAGGUUUAGUAGGUUAGGCUACAAAGCUCAAGAUAUUAUCGUCUCAAUAUUAAAAAAAAAAUAUCGUAUUGAAAUUUUAAAUUAAAUAUUAAAGAUAGAAGCACCGAAAUAUUAUGAAGAGAAGAGAACAGCCCUUCACUUGGCCGUCGUUCGAGGCAAUAUGACAGCAAUGGAAGCGAUUAUGAAGACUUGUCCAGCUUGUUGUGAACUAGUGGAUAGCAGAGGUCGGAAUGCCCUUCACUAUGCUGCCAUAACUCUAAAAGGAGUACUUACAGCUAUGUCUUUCCCUCGAUCGAUUCCUAAAUUUGAGAAACUUAUAUACGAGAAGGAUAACGAUGGAAACACACCAUUGCAUCUAUUUGCUGCUUUCGGCAGUUUUCCCCAGAGGUAUUUGAGGAGUGAUUGGAGACAUGCGUCCAAGAAGAUGUGUGGCCUUAACAAGCAAAACCUCAGCGUUGAUGACAUCUUGGAAGGACAUUUUCCUGAAGAAAAGGUAAUUCCCUCGAUUUGACUUUUUAACCGAGUCGCACUCGUACACGCGAAAGACUCUUUGCAUUUGAAAAAGCUCGCUAACUUACCAAAACAAAUUAAAUUUAAAAAUUAUCAUAGGAAUGAUGUAAGAUUAUUUUCAUAAAUAUCAAAGGACGCAUCAAGAGAAUUUAUAAUAUUCAUUCAAUCUUGUUAAAAAAAAAAAAAAAAACUUCAACUAUAACAAUAAAUACGUAUGCACCUUUAAUAAAUCACAUCAAUCAAACAUAAAUUCACUUGGAUUGUCUCCCUAUUUUAAAAAAAUAAAAUAAAAAUAGAAUAGAAAUCCUUUUGGCAAUAUAACAAAAUUAUACCUUCAACUUCAACACGUAUUUUUAAUUGAUUAACACUAUUUGCUUUGUCCCCUAGACUGAUGUUGGUUUUUUUAUUUGUUUGUUUUAUGGUGUGUUUGAUAUUUUAAUUGAUUAAAAUAUUUUUAUUUUAUUUUUAAUAUAAACACAUUAAAAAUAUUAAAACACUAUAAAAAAUUUAAUUUAAUUUUUUUCUCAGAAAGACACUUUUAAAUCAUAUCUAAAAACAAUUUAAAACUAAAAAAACAAACAGCCCUCGUAGCAACAAAAGCAAUAUAUAUAUAUUGGUGCUAGCUAAAAGAAACAAAAUUACUUGAUUUCAAACUCGCUGGUUAUGAUAGCAAACAAAGGUUGAGAGUCUACAUAUGAUAAUGGAAAAGAAAGAUUCGUUUAAUUUCAUAGCCGAAACUUGUUGCAGAAAGAGUUUUUGGAAUCAUUGAAAGAUGUACGGAGUGGACCGCUUCAACGGCCCAUAGCUAUGAUCAUAGGCGGAGGCAUGCCAAAGGCUAGGGUGGGCUUUAGCCUAGGUCAAGAUUUUAUCAAUAUUUUUUUAACUAGUUUUAUACAAAAACAAUUUAUAAUUCUCAAUUAAAUUAUCAAAAAAUUCUGAAAAUUUACGUGGAGCCUUCUAAUAUGAUGUUUUAGCUUGGGUUAAAAUUUCAGAAUUUUUAAAAAAAUUUAGAAAUUUGAUGAAAAAUCAUAAUUUGAUCGGUUUUACGUUAUUAGAUGUAAUUUUCAAUACGACCAUCAGAUCGAGUUGAAAUUUUACGAGGGAUCUUAAAAUAUAUUGAAUAAAAUCUAGUUAAGAGUUUAGGAUGAACGGAGCUUAGUAGUGCUAACAAAAAAAAAGAUCGUCAAAUAAAAACAAAAUGACUCAUUAAAAGUAAAAUGGUUAUUUGCCAUUAAAAAAUAAAACAAAUCAGCUACUCCUUCCUUUUAUAUGUUGCCGACUAAGCAGAAGCAGAAUAGAAGAAGAAAGAAAAGAAAAGGCAAGAAAGAAAUAGAAAAAAGUAAGGGAAAAACAUUAAAAAAUUCCAAGGAAAAAUAUAAGAAGUGAGAAAAUAACCUUGUAAACUAACGAAGUCCAACUUAUAAAAUACUAAUCUAGAGAAGAAUCAAGUGAAUGAAGAAGGAAUUAAAAGAGGAAAAAAAUUUAAUUACUUUGUUUUUCAGUUGACAUGAGAUUGUUAUUUUAUCCCUGUUGAGGGGUUGUUACAAUAUCGAUUCAGAUUCAAUUAUAGAUGAAUUAUAUUCCACAAAACAUCGAAGAAUGUAACUUUAAUAAUGAGUUUAUUUUUACUUUUGCUUUAAUUUUAUGUACUUUCAAAUUUAUUUUUUAAUAUUUUAGAUAAUGUAUUUGAAUUAAAACUUUAUUAUUAAUUUUAAAAAUUUAUGUACAUAAAUUAAUAAUCGAUCUUAAAAAAUAUUUUUAUAUUUAUUUAUAGCCCAGGAUAAAAAAAAUUCUUGGCUCCGCCCUUGGCUAUGAUGAAAGUAGACCUCUCUACUACUGAGAUAGCAAUGGAGACUCGUAUACUUGUAGCUGCACUCGUAGCAACAGUAACAUUUGCAGCUGCUUUCACCAUGCCUGGCGGUUACAAGAACGAACAAGGCACUCCAGUUCUUCUUAAAAAUGCUGCUUUUGUAGUCUUUGCUAUAUCAGAUGCAAUAGCAAUGGUUCUCUCAACUUCUGCUCUCUUCAUUCACUUUUUUUGGGCACUGCUUGGAAAAGGAGGUCAAGUGGAUGAGGAUAUAAAAGAAAACUUCUCUGAUUGGACACCUGCUUUAACCACAUGUGCCAUCCCAGCAAUGAUCAUCGCAUUCAUCACAGGAAGUUAUGCAGUGCUAGCUCCAUCAUUAUGGCUUGCAAUCACGAUUUGUUUCAUUGGUGUAUCCUUCUUCUUCUUUGCGUACAAGGCAUUCAUAGUUCCAUUCCGCAUCAUUUAAAAAUAUUGAAAAUAAACACUUCUCAGCAGACUUUAAAAGAGUCUGAUAUUGAAGAAGAUUGAUUCUCAUUUAGCUCGUGUUAUAAACUAUCUUCUCGUCAUCUUCUUGAUGGCAUCAGCAGUAACGUUGGCAUCAGCUGUAAUGAUUGAAAAAUUCAAUUUUGGCACUUGGGAAAUGCUAACACCUUCAAUAUAGAGAUCAUAGAAUGACGGCUCACAAGUUCACCAUUAAUUCUAGAUGAAUGGCACUGAGCCAUAAUUUUCGAAAGACUUGAAUUUCUACACAUUGCAACUUCAUUCACCUUCCCAACUUUUUGUUUAACCGAAAUCAUUCUAAUGAAAUGCAAAACAUUCUUUUACGAGAACAAAAAUAAAAAAAUAAAAAAGUAACAAAGGAAAAUUUUACGACAGGCACAAGAAAAACCAUAAUAAAAAAAAAGAGGAGGAAAAUGGGUAUAUAAAACAGCAGAAUAUAAACAUUUUGAGAAAUUAAUGAAUUAAUGAUGUAGUGCUAUGAUUUAACUCCGAUCUAGUGGGUUAUGAAGGAAAUGAAGCUGAUGACAACACCCAAUGUCUGAGUUUUUCAGACCCUAAUUCCACUGACAAGGUGUAAAGAGUGUAGUUAAAACUCAAUUUGAACAACAGAGAUAAAAAAAAAAAAAAUCAGUUUAUUUUUAUGUUUAGUGUGUUUUAAGACUAAAUAAUUUGUUUUAUUUUGUAUUUGGUUAACAUUAACCAAGACAAGAGUAAAAACAAUUAGUGGAAGAAUUGAUAUAACUUGACCUUGUUAAAAAUUCAAGUUAACCUAUAAUUAAGUUUACCCAGAAAAAACACAAAUAAAUUACUUAUGAUUUUUUUUUUAUCAAAAUAAAAUUGUUUUAAUUUAUUUUUAAUUUAGAUCAACUUAGAUUGACCCUCCUCCUAACUUAUGAUUAGGUCUUGUCUCAUAUCAACUCUUGGUUAAGAUUUUAAAACAAUUAUAACAACUAUAUUUAUUUAUAUAUUGACUUGGAUCAAUCUUCCUAACAUGUAAUUAAAAUCUUGUCUUGGAUUAUCAUUUUUAAUUAGUUUUAAAUUAUAAAAAUAAUUAUUUUUAUUUUUAUAUUCACCCAAAUUAACAAUCAAUAUUAUGUAUGACUCAAACCUUGCAUCGAGUCAAUUAUUAUUUAAAUUUUAAAAUUAUAAUAAUAAUUAUUUUUAUUUUUAUAUUAAUACAGAUCAGUCCAGUUAAUUCUUAUGCAAAAAAAAUUAACAAUCUUAUUCUACUCCUUUUAAUAAACAAAAAUUUCUCCACUGGCCUUGUAUAGAACAAAAAAUAAAUACUCCAACAAAACUUCACAAAAAAAUUAUACUGUCCAAUCCAUUUUUUACAGCAUAUCGAACACUACAUAAAUUUCAAAAUCAAAUUACCUCAGUUAAAUCCAUUAAUAUCAUCGUAUUGUAGCUUCCACCAAGUAGGUUCUCCCUGAUAAACAGGGACAUGGCUCCACUACACCUUAAACAAAUUGGAUUAUAUCAUCAUAGGCAAUCUUACAUUACAAUUUUGCUCAAACCAAAAAUUAUCAUAGCCAAUUCUCAAAAACCUUAAACCUCCUACAUAUUUCUUAACAUUAAAAAUAGAUAUACAAGGAAUUCAUGAAUGGAUGCAAUGUAAUAAGCUAUUCAAACUAUUUUGUAUCUAUAAAUUAAAUGGCUCAGAGUUCUAGCAGCUCUAUCAGUCAAGAAUUUUCGGUAGCAGAACUGGCAUUAAAGCUGUAUAUUAAUCAUCACUGCCAAAAAUUUCUGGAAAAAAGCAUAACUUUAAUCACAGAACAAACAGAACCCAAGAUCAAUCAAUAAAAAGAAAACUUGAUGAAUCUAAUCAAAACUUGAUGAAUCUAAUCAAAACUUGAUUUAUCUCUUUGCUUCAUUGAUUUCUCUCAGGAGAGCGAUGAAUCCAAUAUAAUAAUCGCCAACAAAUUCAAUAACAUAAAACAAUCAAAACAUGAUGAAUUCCGAAGGAUUUUUUAGAGGCAAAACCACUGACACAAAGGGCAUGAGCCCCCACGUGAACACCACCAAAAAGACUCAAUUUUUGCCUUAGUGACUAGCUUUAUUUCCACCAUAGUUCUCAAAAAACAAGCUAGAGGUAUAGAGAGGCAACAAAAAAACACAUACCCAGAUGAAAAAAAGAGAUAUUUUAAAAAAUAAGAGAUGUUGUCGUUGAUCUGACACAGAUAAGCCGUGAAAAAAGGUACAAGAGGCUAAACUACAACACUAAACGAAAGGUGUUUUAGCACGAGCAUUGGGGCUUUCUACUUCAGUGAAAUGUAACAAGUGAAGCCUAGGAGGCAUCAUUCAGAGAGAAUUUUUUUUAAAAGGUAAGUUUUUGAAAGGAUUUGUGUGAUGAAAACAGGGUUCUUGGAGGUGUGGAGCCUGCUAAUAGAAGAGAAACAGGGGUGUUAAGAAGUUAUAUAUAGGCGGUAAAGAGCUAUAAAACCCUACUUUUGUUAUUUGAGGAGGUGUUUUGUGUUUUUUGGAUAGUUCAAUUUGUUUUGGGAAUUCAGGGUAUUUAUAUUUGGGGCUUAUUUUUUAUUUUUUCAUCUCUAAUUACUGGAUAAUUUUCACGAGCAUAAAUUUCAUUUUUUUAGGUUAAAAAAUCAACAACAAAAUAAUCUAUCUUUUUCAUUCUUCCAAAAAUAGGUUUAUUAAUAAAAAAAACAAAUAUAGGGUUUAGGACUGGAUUUGGGGUCGUCCAUUUGGAAACCCAAAAUAUCAUGAAAAAUAAAAUAAAUUAUUAUAUAUUUUAUUGAUGUUAAAAAAUUAUUUUAGCUCUGUUUUUUUUUUUUGUUGAUAUAAUUAUUUUGGUUUCUGGAGUGGUUAUUCUUAAGAUUUCUCUUGGGUAUUAAAGGUAAAAUAAUUUUUGGACUAGAUUUUAUAUAUUCUAACUAAAUUUAUUUUCAAUUAGAUUUUAAAUAAAUUAUUUAUAUCGAAACUGAUGUAUAUGGUAAAAAUAUAAUAUAAACAAUCAUUGAUAGUUUAUUGCCCCUGUUAACUAAAUAAUUUGUUUUUAUUAUUGUUGACACCUUUCUUUUUUAUUUUAUUAUUGUUAUUACAACUACUGUUACUAACAACAAGAUCAAGAAUUAAGGGGAAAUCACUUGCUUGCACUGUUUAUGUAAACAAUAUAAGCAUGUACCUCUUCUUCUUCUUCUUCUUCUUUUAAUUUAAAUUUCAUUACUCAAUGAUGCAUUGCUUUUAAAUUGUUCCUUAUAAUUUAUUUUGGUUUGUUUUCUAUAAAGUUAUUACAUUCUUAAACAAAUGAGCCGAUAUUUAAUUAGUGCUCAAUUUUAUGAGUGCCUAAUUUUAUUAUCAUAAAAUUAGGUAAGAAAUAAUUUCAAAAAACAAAGUUAUUAAACUCAAUAAAGUCCAUAACUUAGGUUGUAGGUUUAACUGGUUAAGCUACAAAGCUCAAAAUAUUAUCGUCUUAAUAUUAAAAAAUAUAUAUCAUAUUGAAAAUUUAAAUUAAAUAUUAAAGAUGAAAUCACCAACAAAAUAAUUAAAAAUAUUAAUAUUUAAUUAUCUGUUUGUAAAAUUAUCAAUAAAAUGCCCCAAUAAAAAGACUAGAAUCCCUCAUUUCACAGUAGACGGGCCUUUUUUUUUUCUUUUUUCUUCUUCUUAUAUAAAAACGUUUUGUAGCAAAUUUUGAUAUGAUUAUAUACAAUGAUGAAUUUAUAUUUCAAUAGCCUGGAUUUAUGAUUUAAAGAAAGCAUCCAUCAACGUGAAUAAAUCCUUACGUGCAUCUCAUGUGAAGACAAAGGUGAUCUCAAGUGCAGAUUCUCCCUAAGACAAAUAUACGAAGUACAGCUUCUUAAAGACGAUCAGACCAGAGAUGAUUUUUGUUGGUUGUAAUAUUGGAUUUCGGAACCGAACUAUGUAGAGAUGGCCAAAGACUGGCUUCCUGAGAAGUUUUCACUAAAUAUAUUAUUGUUAGUACUCACAAAAUUAAAUAAAUUCAAUUAGAGGAAAUUCUAAAAUAUAAUUUAUAUUGUUUUUUUAACUAAUAACUGGUAUAACAAUCAAACACUAAUUCGAAUUAAAAUAAAAUAAAAUCAGUGACAUUACUAAUUCUUCAUGAGAGAAUGAAAAGAACAGGAUCCGAUGGAAUCGCUAUAUAUCAUGUGAAGUUUACAAUUUCCACCACCGGUUCCGACGGUCAAGUGACAUGAGUUAAUCAUACUCUUUUAAGCAUAUUAAUUGUAAACUUUCCUUACACUUUCAUAUUACGUAAUUAUUUAUUUUUGUCAAUAUUUAUUAAUACCAGGCUGCAAAGUCAAUGCUCAGAGAGGAGAAUGAUUAACUAUGUGCACGCCCUUGCAUUAUGAAUUUGUCUAUGACGACGUCCUCUUUAACAUGGUAGAGUCUAAUUUUCUUAGAUAAUUAAUUAAUUAAUUAUCGUUGGUCUUUCCUUCAAGAUCCAACAUCCCAUUUGCAAAGUAAUUAUAUGAAAAGAAAGUCGGUCCAAUAUUAAAUUAUAUAAUAUGUUACAUGUCCAAUCAUUCCCAUUAUUUUAUCAAAUUACAUGUUCUAUUUAUAGAGAGCAUAUAGCACCUUGUUUGACAUAUUCAUACUAUCAUACACUUCAACUCAAUCGUUCUUCUCUACAAUCAAAUUCAGGCUUCAGCAGCAAAAGUUACAAUGGCGGUAAGCGUGUAUAGAUGUCGUGGAUGAAAUUAUAUAACCGUAGGUUAAUUAGUAAGAGUCUUCUAUUAAUUAAUAUUUUCUCGUAUCAUAUUACAACUUAAAGGAAAGAAUGGCACAAUUGUAUUGAAAAUUUUCGUUGUAUUUUACCCAGUCGAUCAUAGAAAUGAGAGUGCAUAUGGAUUGUGCUGGAUGCGAGAGCAAGGUGAAAAAUGCUCUGGAAAAAGUCAAAGGUAAGAAAUCACCUCCACUAAAAACUUUAUGCAAGCGAAAAUUUUCAUCUUAGUCAUUCCUUAUUUUGUCAUGAAUUAUUUUUUCUGUUCCUCUCUUUUUAAAGUUUUCUUUGGACAUAUUUUCUUGGACUAUAUCUUAAACUUUUGUAUUUAUUAUAUGUAUGCACGCACAUGCGUAGAUGACAUAGAUAUAGAUAUGGGGUUGCAAAAGGUGACGGUCACAGGAUGGGCUGACCAAAAGAAAGUUCUAAAGACAGUUCGUAAGACAGGAAGAAGGGCAGAGCUCUGGCAAUUACCUUACAAUCCACAACAUCAUAUCUAUUCUGACCACUACUACAACCAACACCAAGUUAACAGUCCACUUACUUACCAUGCUCCUCAGCCUUCCUCUUCUUACAAUUACUACAAGCAUGGAUAUGAUAGCAACGAUCAUGGUUAUUAUCAUCACCCUGUGCAUUCCUCCAUCUUUAACCACCAGACAGGAGCAGUUUUCAGCGAUGAAAACCCUCAUGGUUGUUCUUACUAUAUAUAUAUAUAUAUAUGCAUGCUACUUUGUUUUAUAUGUACUGAUUUCCUUUUCACUUUAUGUUUUGUUAAACCUUGUUCACAUGAAGCUAUAAAAUAUAGACAAGAAAUGCCUUUUUUUUCCUUAUCAUUUUGCAACUUAUAAAUUGUUUUAUUCUGAUUUGUGCCCUAGACAUGGUAUUGUCUGCUGAGAAAACCGAGCUCCGUUGAUCUUUUCUUUUUACUAAACUAAAUCGCCACCAAUUGCAAUUUAAAACUCUGAUCUACAUUAAUAUCAUUCGGAUAGGAUUAAUUAGGAUGUACUCCUCCAUAAACUCUAAUAAAUCUUCUCCAAAGAAGAGAUGCCUUGGAAUGUUUUAGAAAGGGGAUAAUAUUCUCAUAUUCGCACCCAACUUAUUCGCUAUUACCCUUUCUCAGUUGUGUCCCUAACCUACAUAUUUAAGCAAUUGAGUCCAAAAAGUAUCUAGGAAUUAUCAAUCUGAUCCUUUCAUCCUCAAAUAUAAUUUGAAGUUAUCUUUAGGUGUGGACUUAAAUGAGAAAAUUCUUAAACAAUUUUUUUAUGGACAAAUCCAAUUGAGAAUUCUGGGACUAGUUGGUUGAAAAUUAUAACUAGGUUGAGAACAAAAUUUGGAAAACAAUUAGAGAUAGGGGACUAAUAUUAUGUUACCCAAGAACCUCAUAAAAAUUAGGGAUGAAAACGUCAUCACUCAACAGAUAUCAGGAAUACUCCUAUCUAAUUGAGAUUGAGAUGGGUUUUAACCCAGUUUGACUAGGAUCCAACCUAUUGUGGAUAUAUAUAACUUCUCUCAUUUUUAUUUUUAAGCAUACAAAUGUGUGGUUUUGCCCAUUUAAUACCCAAAUUGUUUUUUUUAUAUUUCCUUAUAAAUAUUCUAAGAAUUUUUGUGAUUAAUAGUUUUCAAUUUUUUAUUUCCUUAAUAUUAUGAAAAAAUAUAUGGUUUUUAAAAAUUAAUUUUCAAAAUUCUUUAAACUUUUCGAAUAUUUUUCUUAAAUAAGAAGUUUCCAUAACUUUUUUUUUAUUAUUAUUCCUUAAAUUCAUUUCAUGCACUGUUAAAAAAAAAACAUUACAUAGUGUCGUUUUAAACGGCAUUGUAUAUCUUCUUCUUCCAUAUGAACGUAGAGACAAAGAAGAAGAAGGAUUUUGAAUGUUUUUUCCGCCUCUCUCUCUCUCUCCCCCGCUUGCACAAACCUGACAAAACACAUACUCAUAUGCCCAUGCCACCAUAAUAAGAAAGAAAGACAACCCAUACCCCGGUCACCAUGUCCUGCACUCACCACGCCCUGCAUUUGGACAAGGUAUGGUGACUCUCUCCCUUGGCCUCCUACAAAUACAGGGGGAGAUUUGAGAGAAAGGGGGGAGAAAAAUUGUUCUGGGAGAAUAGUAUAGAAGAAAGGAAAUAGAAAGACAGUUUGAGAAAGGGCUGGGGAAUUGUUUGUGGGAAAUAAGGAUAAAGUAAAGACAAAGAGGAGACUAAAAGAAGAACAAAAGGAAACAUAAGAAAAUAGAGGAGAAGAACAUAAGGAAAAUACGCAGAGAAGAAGAAGAACCGACCACCAAAGAAGCAACUCUCCAGUCAGCAACCACCAACAUCACCGCCACAAAGCCACCACAUGUCCGCCCCUUUUCCUUCUUCCUCCUUCUCCUCUUCAUCUUCGAUGGUUUCCUUCAUUAUUCACUAAGUGAAUUAAUUUUCUCUUCAUUGUUAAGGUGAGAGUACUCCUGUUCAUUGGGCUGGACAAGUCCGACCCGGCCCAAUCCAAUUUUUUUUAUUAUAAAAAUACUUUUAUUGUUUUUUUAUUUUCCCGCGUAUUUUUCUACCUAUUUGAUUAUUAUCGGUUUGUAUUUUUAUAUCAUAAAGAUACAAAUUCGAUAUUAAAAUACUCGAUUUUCAUCGAAACAUCUCAAAAAAUUAUAAACAAUAAUAAAAAUAUAUUGUUUUCAUGCAUACGACGAAGUCUUUCAAAAAAAAAAUCAUAUUGUAUUUUCAUACAUCAAAAAUUCAAAAAUAUGUUUUAGCAUGCAUUUCGGCUUUCAUAACUAGUUUAUUAAAGUCAUGAGAACUAGGCGAAUAUUUAAAAAAUUCCAAAAAAAUCAAUUUGUUUUCUUUCAAUAUUAAGGAUUACGAGCUCAUACGUAAAACGAAUCCCUGAUAUUAAAAAGCUAGUUUUUUUUUAUUGAUUUUAGAAUGAUUAUGUUUGACCCAAUAAGAUAAUGAUCUUCUUACUGAGAAUGACCUUUUUAAAACCAUAGACGGACCAACAAUUAGACCUUAGCAUAUAUCUCCUUGUUGAUAUCUUUCCUUUACGCAACCAAUCUCUGUGUUCGAUCUCUGAGACCAGUUAGGGUUCCUAGUGACCAAAAUACUAGGUGACGACUCUUAUUCCCUCUUUCCACUGAUAAAAGAUAAGAAUUCAUUGUCUUUUCUAUUUUUCCAAUUACCUAGACAAACCUAUCAAAGUGGAAGACCCGUCACGAUGCCGCAUACGUGCAACAAUUUCAUUUGGUCAUUGAAUCUUUGUAAAGGAAUGAUAAUGGGUAUUCACGGGUUAGGUUUUUGUAUUAUCUAUACUUGAAUUCAAACCCAAAACAUUAUCAAUGUCUGACUCAAAACUUGACGAGUGUAAAUUUUGAAUAUCAAAAUCUAAUGCAAUUAAUCAGGUUUUAGUUAUUGAUUCAAAUACUUUAUAUUACCUAAAUGAUACAGUAAGGUUUGUGAAAACUAAAAAUUUUAAUAAUCUACAUGAGGGUUUGUCACAUACAGACUAUUUGAAUGACUUAACACAUGUUUUUAUAAACUAGUACUGAAAUAGGACUAAGUUUAAAAUGAUGUGUGGUCAUGCUAUAUUAGAAUAGUGACUUUAAACAAAGAUAACAAGUUUACAUUUGGUUGAGAUUAACUUUUUAUAAGAGAUUCUAAAAGUUGUUUUUUUUUUUUUAGGGAAGCUAUUCUGUCAUUUAUUAGACUACUAGAUCUUUUAAAAUUUGGCCUAAAAGUUGCUAUUUAGGUCUAAUUAUUUUUUGAUUGGUUAGGUUUUUUGGUUAAAAAAUAAAUAAAUAUUUUUUUUUAAAUCACGAUUGAACUAAAAUAGAAAUCAGUUCAAACCAACUAGUUUUGGUUUGGUAUAAAUUUGUUUUUUAAAACAAAAACUGGCAAAACCUGUUUUGCUCUUUCUGAGUUUUUAUGGGAUUUUACUGAAUUUUUAUAGGUUUUUUUCUAACUUCUUUGUUUAGUUUCAUGGGUUUUUUUAAAAAAUUUAUAUAUCUAGCUAAUUUGAGCCCAAGUUUAUUAACAAUGCAUUCAAGGAGAAAAGUGAAUCCAAUAAUUUUAUUGAAAGCAAAAUACUCACUACCAAUCAAUAAAUCAUCUGCGCGCAACAAUUAUUUAUUGAACUAUGCUGGAUUGGUUUGGUUUUUUUUUUUUGAAUUGACAAUCACCACACACACACACGCAUGGACAAAAGAUCUGUAGCCAUUGAUUAACUAUAAGCGUCAAAUACAUGGACAAAAGAUCUGAAAUUCUUUGAACAGAAAAGCUGGAAUUUAUGCAGUGACAGUGAUAGAAAAUCAAGUAAUUAUGCACAAUUAUCCUAUUUGCAGUCAAUGCAUCUAAUUCCGACUUGCUUUUUUUAUUUUAUUUUAUCCUUAAUCAAUUAUUCUUCUUUUUUUUUCAAUUUCAUUCUAUUCACAUAAUUUUAACAGGGUUUGGUUUGCUUGUGGUGCUGUAUUCAUGAUAUAAGAAAAAUACCAUGGCAUUAAAUUGAUCAUUAAUUUUAUAAAACUUAAUUUAAUUUUAUCAAUUCAAAAAAAUAUAUACAGUGCCGACCAAGUUUCACACAAACAAAAAAAUCCAUUUUUUCUUUUUUAUUGUUUAUGAAGAAUGGAAAAUUAUAGUUUAUUCCCAAAGUUUUUUUUUCAGUUUUAGUCCCUAUAUAUGUUUUCUAAGGUUUCAUGUUAGGAUUUCAAUAGUUAUUAUAAUUUGAAAGGAAAGAGAAAGUUAAAAAAAAAAGUAAAUAUAAAAUAUUUGACCAUCCAUAUUUUGACAUAAAAAAAAACUGAUUUUAUUAGUAACAUAACACCCCUAGUAGCUGUAUAGCGUCUGUUUAUAAGUGUUGAUUAGUUACAACUAUCAUUUCUAUCAUUUCUAGCUAGCACCCGUGCAGCGCCUCGUCAACAUCCCAGGAAGACAGCAAGCGUGCCUGCCUGCACUCACUUUCGGGCCUAAAGGCCCAGGGAUUUUAUUUUUUUUAUCAAAAUCUUUAAACAUUUAGAUAAUUCAUAUAAUAUUACAAUACUUAAAAAGGAACGUAUUGCAAAAAGGAACGUAUUGCAAUUAUAAUAAAAGUUAAACGCGGUAGAGAAAUCAUGGUAAAACGGAACGUAUUGCAAUUAUAAUAAAUUUUUUACUAUCUUUUUUUUUGUGUCAAAUUAACUUAAUUUGAUCAUACCCAAACUUCUUGGAUCUGGAUUGGCCACACUAAAAUAUUUUAGGUUUAGCAUGAUUGCUAGACUUAAGUCUCUCAAAUCUGACAUGAUUGUCAGAUCCAAUUGUUGCACGUGUGUGGCGUUAUGGCGAUCACCCACCACCCCCACCAUCAUCAGGUGUGGUAUGUUUAUUUAUUCCGGCAAAUAUGAAAAAACAAGGAAUUCUUUGUCUCUUACCAAUAAAAAAUAGAAUGGGAAUCGCCACCUAGUAUUUUGAUUACUAGGAACCCUAACUGGUCUCAGAGAUUGGAUACAGAAACUAGUUGCAUAAAGGAAAGGUAUUAGCACCCCAAAUACGCCCUACCUAAGGUAAGUUGUAUUGUUUUAUUGUCUGAUAAAAAAUUUAAAGUCUUGUCAUGUUGGUCUGUCUAUGGUUUAAGAAAAGUCCUUCUUAGUAAGGAGGUUCUUAUCUUAUGGGGAAAAACCUAAUCAGUCUAAGGUCUAUAACAGAAAUAUCUUUUUAAUAUCAAGAAUACGUUUUACGUAUAAAUUUGUAAUCCCAGAUAUUAAAAGAAAACAAAAUAGUUUUUUGAUUUUUUUUUUAAAUAUUGGCCAAGUUCUCAUAACUUUAAUAAACUAGUUAUUAAAGCUAAAAUGCAUGCUAAAAUAUAAUAUAUAUUUUUUGAAGUUUUCUAUUUUUGUAUAAAAAUACAAUAUGAUUUUUUUUCUUUUUUAACUUUAAGAGACUCGGCUAUAUGCACAAAAAUAAAAUAAAAAAACUUUAUAUAUAUAUUCAGAGUUUUGACGAAAACUAGGUAUUUUAAUAUUGGAUUUGUAUUUUAAAAAAAAUACAGAUCGAUGUCAAUCAAAAUGACGUAAAACAAAUACGCGGGGAAAUCACAAUUUCUUUAAAAAUAUAUAUUUUUCUUUUAUUAAAAAACAAAAAAAAUAAAAUUUCUGAUGUUCCAGCAUUAAAAAAUGACCUGAAAUGGUGACCGGCUGUUCUCAUUGGUUGUUUUCGUCAACCUUUUUUCUUUUUCUAACAAAUUUAUUGCUGCCUCUGAAACCAACAAAACAAGGAAUAAAAGUUCUCCUUCAUGAACAACAGAAAUUUCACUUAUGCCCCGUUUAAUAAUUUCUUUUUAGAAAACUGGUUUCUUGAAAAAUAAUUUUCUAAAAAAUAAAUUAUUUUUCAAUGUUUGGUAGCAUCAUAAAAAAUAAGUUAGAAAAUAUUUUCUAGUAUUUGACUAUGUCAUGGAAAAUAAGCUGUAAAAAAAAUUAUUAAUAUAUUUUUUUCAAGUUUAUUAAAAUAAUGAGAACAAAAUCUUACAAAAUAAAAAGUUGAAUAAGAAUAAAAUUAAAAAAAAAAUCUAAUUUCAUAAAUGAUCUCACAUAAAAUAAAUAACAAUCAAGAUAGUAAAAAUCAAAUCUAACUAAUAAAAUAGUUGAAAAAUAAUGAAAUUAAAAAUAUUAUAAUUUCAUAAAUUAUUUCAAAUAAAAUAAAUAACAAUAAAAAAUAAGGAUCAAAUUUUAUAGAUAAAAAAAUUAAAUUAAUGAUAAGAAAAAAAAAAUAUAAAAAUAAGGACCAAAAUUGAUAUAAAAAUCAAUUUAAAUCAAAUUAUAAUGGAUAAAAUUUUAAAAAUAAAAUUCAAAAUAAAAUAUAUAACAACCAAAAACUUAUAAUUUGUUUUUCUUUCAAAAAGCUAAUUAUGAAGCAAACACGGAUAUAUAAAACCAAAUAUACGUGGAUUUUAAAUUAUAGUUUACACUAUUAUAUAUAAAUUAUUUAAUUCUCCAGACUUAAGCACAAAAUCCUACCAUAAUCUCCAACUAGAGCAGUUGGACCAUUAGGGCCGUCGUGAUCUCGCACCCUGAUUGCCGCGUGUAGAGCAGUUCUACCAUUAGGGCCGCCGUAGUCCACUGAGAUGCAAUUUCGUAAGAUUGCAGCGAUCACGUUUUCUCCAUGAACAUGGGUCCUCUUUAAUCAAUAAUCCCACCACAUGGCUCUGGUUAUUUCGAGCUGCCUCAUGCAUCGCUGUAACUCGCUCUUCAUUGGUCAUCCUCAACAUCUUUUUGGCUUCUGUUACUUCGCUCUCUGGAUCUGUAGGUAGAGCUGUUGCGCGGUCAAUGAGGACUCUUACCACUUUGAAAUGACCAUAUCUUGAUGCCAAAUGGAGUGGGAUUUCACCUCUCUUAUUGGCUUGGAAUAAGUGGUGGAAACAAUUCCUAAUUGAUUUGAACUUUGCAAUCAAUUUCUUGUUUACCCACCUGUGUUGUUUCUUUUCCUCUAUCCGAUUGGCGGUUGCAGUAAAUGGUCUAGGCACAGAGAGUUUUUAGACGACAGCAGAGGUCCUGAACUACAGUAAAGUUCUGCAGUCUCUACAGAGCCAUUUUUUAUACGAAUGUGAUAAAUAAAAAUAAAAUUUUUAAUUAGAAUAUCCAUGUUUAAUAUGCAGUACGAUUGUGAUAAAGUCCAUCACGGACUCGAGAGUCCAGAACAUAACAUGGGAAUUAUGAUAAAGAACAAAAAAAAAAACCCGUGAAAAUAAAGACAACAGUGACAAAACAGCCCAAAGACACAAUUACAUGGGAAUUAUGUCUAUCACAACUGGCUUGUAACUCGUAAGACUGUGAGCCUUGGGUUUGGUUAAGGCGGAUAUGUGGCAAAUACAUAUUCCCGGUUCAACUAUGAGAACCAUUGUUAGGCAAACAUAAAAAAUCAAUUAAUGGGUUUUAUGUUCGAGUUUUAUAGUUGUUAAUAUAAUAAUUAUUGAAGACUUACAUGAUUAUUAAUUUUAAAACCCGUAAGAUUAAUUAAAAUAUAUACAAACUGACCUGUACAUUAAUAAAAAAAAAAUCAAUUAGCUAAUUUGUUUAUAAAAAACAAAUAUAAACUUUGGUACAAGGACCACAUGCAAUCGACUUUACUCUUGCGUUUAACAGUAAAAACAUCAUUAAACCCGCAGAAACCUAUGACAAAAAACCAAAUUGUUUUAGCCUUUUUUGGAAGAAUGAAACUUGGCAUAUCCUGCUUUUCAUAGAAGUUAUCUUACAAUUUUUUGAGAUUAUAGAAAUAAUGUUUUUAAAAAUAUUUUUUUAUUUAAAAAUAUAUUAAAAUAAAUUUUUUAUUUUUAUUUUUAAAAAAUAAAAAUAAUAUCAGAGUUUUUGACUACUUAAUUUGUGAUGUCUCAUCAAUUACAAAAUAAAAUAUAAAAAAUUGAUAAUUGAUUUGGGAACCAAAAACAUGAUUUCUGAACAUAUGACAUCAUAAUUGUUUUUCAAAAACAAUAAGAAUUUUUUAAAAAAAUACAUGAGAGUUUAAUUUGAUAGAAAAUUUAGAAUUGAUUGUUUCACUAGUAAAUCUAAUCUCGUAAAUCCUUUUAAAUGAUCCUUAAACACUAAAUACACAAGGAAAAAGAAGCUCAAACCAAUAAGAAAAAUGCUGAUGAUAAUAAUCAUUAUCUCCAUGCCAAUCAUAGUAAACAAUGUGGCAAACCCAAAUAAUAUCUCAGUGGUAUCCUCACUUGUAUCUUUAUUUUUGUUCAUUUUUAAAUUUUUAGAGGGUGUUUGACACUGUUUUUUAAAAGUAUUUUACAAAAAAAUUGAUUAUUUUUUUCUUUAAAUUAAUAUGUUUUUUAUUUUUUUCAAAUCAUUUUGAUGUGCUAAUUUCAAAAAUAAUUUAAAAAAAAUUAAAAAAAAAACAUUAUUAGCAUACUUUUCUAAGUAAAAAGUAUUUUGAAAAGUAAUAAUUAUCAUACUCCCAAACACAUCUAAAUAGAUAAAGACAGAAAAAAUAGAGAGUAAGUACUAUUGACAUUGUAUCUGAAAUGACAAAUACUAUAAAAACAUCCUUUUUAGUUAGAAUUGCGGUGUCUUUGUCGCUCUUGUAAUCGCCAGAUAAGGUGAAUGCUGCUGCAAAUAUUACCAUUACUAUCAGCGCCACAAUUUUAAACAAGUAUAAUGAGUUUAAACUAACAGCCACUUCUACAAUAUCUCGAAAUCUCAAUAUCUACAAUUACCAAAAAAAUUUAAGAAUAAAUAAAAUAUAUUUAUUAAUUAUUUUCUUAUGAAAUAAAAUUAGUCACACUUAACAAAGACCCCCAUGACUGCAUAUAAAAUAAAAAUUGCUUAAGACUUCACUUAUUAAACACACACACACACACACAUUAAUAUGACGGCGCGCCUCGUAAACAAACAGCAUCGUCUUCAAGGUUCAAAGCAUGUAAUGGGUUUUCUUCAUUGUCAAUUCUCUGUGGCCUUGUUUAUUGAGCGAACUGGAGUACUGGGUUUUCUUCAUUUUUCCAUGGUACCAGGGAUCUUGCAUUUUUUAAUAAUUCAUUUUUUUUUUAUCCUAUUGAAUCUCUUAACUGGAGUACUCCAAUACUCAUGCUUUAUUCGAUCACAGCAUCCUUUUCCUUUUUGUUUUUCUCAUUCGUUUCUUCCAGAACAAUGCGCCGGCAGCCAAACGGUCCCCUGCCAACAUCUUCAAGGGAUUCUAGGAUCUCCUGCAAAAUAUUUUGGGUGAAAUAUCGUAGGUAAUCCAUCAUUUUUAGCUAAUUAUCAAAUAUCUUGUUUAUAUCACUCUAACAUUUAUUUUUUCUUUUUUCUCCUCUCUCUAUUAUUUUCUCUAAUUUAUACACCAUUUGCUAUACAAAGGAACAAAAAAAUGAAUAGGCAAAAAAGUGUGAUUAAUUGUAUUAAAACACCAUUUGCUAUACACUUAUACUAGAAUAGUUUUUCUCAUGUUCUUUAUAUUUCUUUUUGUACUUAUCUUCAUGUAUAUGAACUUUUCAAAUAAUUAUUCCAAUAAAAAAUUUAUAUUUUUGUUAGGAUACAUUAUAAUUUAUUAAAUAAUCAUUUCAAUUUAAGAAUUCAAGUUAUUGAAAUUCGUAACUCUUGACAACUAAAUUUUAAUAACAUAUAAAAAAAAACAAUUAAAUUCAAGAACUCAAUUACGGCAGCUCCCUCUUUUCAAUACGAAUUAGUAUAAAAACGCUUACAAGUCUAGCUAGUACUUGGAUUAAUUAGCCAAAACUACCUCCUGUCAACGGCUACUGUCAAGAAUCAACAGUCAUGCAAGAUGAUUUCCUCUGAUGUUGCAUCAUGCUGUAGUAAAAAAGCAACAGCGCCCAUUCAAGAAUCAUCAAACUUCUCUAAACCAGCUAUUCACUCCAAAAAAAAAAAAAACACAGUUCUUCAUGUUUAUGGACCCAUUUGAAAACCGGUUUAAUCCGUAUUUUUUAAAAAAUUAAAUUUAUAAUAUUUAAGUUUUUUUUUUUCUUAUCAUAAAAGACAAUAGAGAUGAAAUGCUAUCGUAAUAGGUGACAAAUGCUCAAAUGUGAAUAAAUCACUUGUCUGCCUAAUUAUUUUUUAGGACAAUAAGAAGUUUUCAAAAAACAUUUAUUGUUAAUUCCCUCAGCAUAACUUCCUAUGCAAAGGAUUCUGAAACACAGAAUAAAAGGAAAGGAUUACCAUGCUGACACUCUUUUUUUUAAAAAAAAAAAAAAUAUCUGAUACUUAGACACUUAUAUAUAUUAAAGCACCUCCCUACAUCGGACUUAAAAAGUGAAAUAAAAACACACACAUAUGUGCAAGUGUAUGCACACCUCCGCGCCCACACAUAAACUAAAUCAAUAUAAAUAUUGGAUGUACAUUCAUAAAAACAUUAUUUAGCAAAUGAAACUAAAACAUUUAUCACAAUUUAAAAAACAAUUGUGAGUAUUUUUUUUCCUUCUUUUAUAAGUAGAGAAUAUUGAUACUUUAACAAUAGUGUUGAUAUCUAAGUAUUGUAAGUAAAGAAUUUUUUUAUAUAUAUAUAAAUAGACAAUAUUGAUACUUUAACACUUAUAUAUAUAUCAAAGUAUCUCUCGUUAUACUAAUAAUUUUCAGACAUGAAAAAGUUAAUUAAACACAUUACCUGUAAUCUAAAACUUGUGAGGGAAGUACUAUGGCAAUAAUACUUUCCCCACAUUUUCCCCACAUGUUUUGUGACUCUCGAAAAUACAUUUGCUUUUGUUUUUAUUUUUUUCAAUUAAUGUUUUUUUUUAAAAUUUUUUAUCAUUUUAUAUUAAAUUUUUUAUUGGGUUAUCUCACUCUCAAGAUAUGGAUCGCGGGUACGACGAAUUAACCUAGUUGGCUGGAGUUUUAUUCCUUCUUUUUUUUUUCAAUUUUAUCAUUCAAUAUUGGUUUUAAAAAAGAAUUAGUUUUCAUGAUUUAUUUUAUUUGCUUUCUAUUAGGUUAAUUCGGUUUCAUGACCCGAGAAUAGUUUUUAAUAAAUUAAUCUCAAGUUAACUCAGGUUGUUUUUUUUUAUGUUUUUUUUAAUUGAAUUUCUUUUUAAUUUUAUCAUUGAAUAUUAGGUCGGUUGGAAAUUGGGCUUUCAUAAUUUAUUCUGAUUUCUUUUCUACUAGGAUAUCUUGGUAUCAUGAUCAGGGUUAUGGGUUUUGGUAUUUUAACCUCGGUUAAAUCAUGUUGUUAUUUUUUUAUUUUCUUUUAAGAGGUUAUCUUGAUCUCAUGUCCUUCAACAUUAUAUUUGUUUUUUUAUUGGGUUGUCCAUGUCUUAUGAUCUAAGUUGCGUGUUUGACAAAUUAAUCCAGUUGACUCAGUUUUUUAUAACUAACUUUUUUCUCAAUUUUAUCAUUUAAUAUUGUGUUUGAUUAAGAAUUAAGCUUCAUUAUUUAUUUUGAUUUGAUUUUUAUGGGAUUAUUUCAGCCUAAUGACUCGGGAAUAAUACUUAACGGGUUAACAUAUAUUAACUUAGCUCUUUUUUUUAAUUAAAUUUUUUACAAAUUUUAUCAUUUAACACUAGGUCCGAUAGAAUUGAUUAAGAAUUAAACUUUAUAAUUUGUUUUCAUUUAUUUUUUAUUAGGUUAUAUCAACCUCUAGAUUCAUAAAUUUGAUAGGUUAAUCUAACUUAAAUCAAUUUUUUUUUUUUAAGGUCAACUUAAUUUUUUUAUUUCAGUCAUGAGUUUUACUUGUAUCAUUGUUAUUUUUUCCCUCCCGUGCAGUUCAAUGGCAAGCUGGGGUUGUAUUUUUUGGGCAUGGGAUUUGCUUACAUUUUGAUCCUCCAUGCAGACUGCAGGAUGUCACUGUCACAAAAAACCAAAUUUGCUUUUUUUUUUUUUUAGCUUAUCAUAAAAGACAAUAAAAAUGAAAUGCUUUCUAUCAUAAUAGGUUAUUACCUGCCUUUUUUUUAAUGUUGUCUAUGCUCUUGAACUUGACAAAUGCUCAAAUGUGAAAUCAAUUGUUUUUUGGGACAAUAAUAGAUGAAAUGCUUUCUAUCCUAAUUGUUUUUUGGGACAAUAAGAAGUUUUCAAAAAAAAAAUAUUGUUAAUUCCCUUAGCAUAACUUCCUAGCAGGGAAAAGGAUUUUGAAACACAAAAGAAAAAGGAAAUGAAGACCAUGCUGCCACUUUUUUUUAUCUCUUUUUUUUUUUUUUGAAUAUUUAGACACUUAUCUAUAUCAAAGUAUCUCUUUACAUCAAUAUUUAUCAUACUUAAAAAGUGAAUUAAAAACACUCAUAUAUGUUCAAGCAUAUGCACGCAUCCACACACAUAAACUAAUCAACAUUUUACUUAUUAGGGAUUAAAUUUUAUAAUUUAUUUUAAUUUUUUUCGUGAGGUUAUCUUAGUCUUAUAACCUGAGUUGCAAGUUUGACAGGUUAAUUUGGGUUGUUUUUUGAAGUCCUUUUUUUAAUUGAUUUUGUUUUUAAUUUCAUUCUUUAACUUUGAGCUAAUUGAAAAUUAAGCUUCAUAAUUUGUUUUUCAUGGAGUUAUCAUAGUCUCAUAACCCAAGUCACAGAUUUGACAUAUUAACUUAAGUUGAUCCAAGUCAAUCUAAUAUAUUGUUAUCUUAAUAUGUUUUUAAAAAAUCAUCUUGAAUUAUUUUUAGUCAAAUUAUGUUUUUAUUGGUCAUUCGAGUUACUUUUGGACCUUCAAAGUCAAUCAUGUCAUAUUGAGUCAAUACCCACAUAGUUUAAAUUUUUUUUCCACUAAAAUAUACAUUAGCAACAUCUAAAUAUUUUUUUAUGUUUAAGAAAAAUUUGAUCCAACCCACGUAGCUAGCGCGGGUCAAUAAUCUAGCACACGCAAUAAACUAAAACAAUAUCUCACUAUACAUCUAUAUGCAUUCAUAAAACACUAUUAAGAGAAUCAAACUAAAAAAUUCUAUCACAAAUUGUUUUAAAAUUAUUUAUUUUCUAUUUGUAACAAACAAUUUAUUCCAAAUAAUGAAUUUUUUUAGAAAAAAUACAACUGAAUUUUAUUUGAUAGCAAAUCAAGGACUGAUUAUUUUAGUUGUAAAUCAAGUUCAUAAUAUUUAGCUUAAAUUUUAAUUUUUUUUGUUUAAUUAUUGCAAAAUUACUAUUAUUGUUAUUGUCAUUUGAAAAUAUACUUACUAUGAUAUUAAAUAUUAAUAACUAUCUAAUUAGGAAAAAUUAAUUAUUCAUAGUAAAUACAAAUUUAAUAUCAUUAUAUAUAUAUAUAAAAAUUCCAAAUUUGCGUUAUUGUGAAAAAAAUCAGAUUUUUGUGAACAUUUGUUUGUAGUAUAUGCUGGAUUAAUCAAUAUUUUAUUGAUUAAUUUAUUAAUCAAAUUCAUUAAUAUGGAAUCCUAUCAAUCUAAGAUUAUAUAAAUUAUAUAAAUGCAAUUAUUGAUUAAUUUAUAAUUUUUAUGUUUUUUUUAUAAUUUUUUUCUUUGUUUUCUUAUCAUAAAAAACACUAGAGAUGAAAAGCUUACAAAAACAUUUUAUUGUUAAUUCCCUCUUCUAAAACAUAACUUGCUUGCAAGGUAAAGGAUUUUGGAAUACAAAAGUGAAAAGGAAAGGAUGACUAUGCUAGCACUUCUUCCUUUUUUUAAUGUUUUUUUUUCUAAUACUUAGACACUACAUUAAUAGUUGUUGAACUUAAAAGGUGAAUAAAAAACACAAAUAUAUGAAAUUUCAUUUGAUAGCAAAUCUGGGAUUGAUUGUUUUAGUUUGAAAUCUUUUUCACAAAUUUUAGCUAAAAUUUAAAAAUUUUGUCUUAUUAUUAUUAUAACCCAAUUUUUUAAAACAAAUGGAUAAAAAAAUAAUUUGAGAUUUAGGUUAAGACAACACAAAUUGAAAAUUUGAGGAUUAAUAAUGAUGAAAUUAUAAAUUUGGCAGUCAAUGUGGUAGAAAAAUAGAAGAAUUAAUAAGUUUGGAGACUUAAUUAAACUUUUAUUUAAUUAAUUAAUGCAAUCAAAAGCUUAAUUGAAGAAAUACCAAAGUUUGGGGCUGAUUUGAGUCACAAUUGCAAGCAAUUAAAGUUUUAGAAUCAAAGUGAAUAGACAAUGAUACUAUGGGGGGUUAAUUGAAUUUUUCAGGAGUAAUUUUGAUUGAAUUAAAAGUUAAAGAGUCAAUUGAAGAGUGAAUUGAUUAAAUUAGAAAUCAAGUAUUGUUUUGUAAAUGGCUUUGAAAUUUAGGGGUUGAAUUGCAAUUUGAUCCAGGGGUAACAUUAAGAAAAGAAAAAAAAGAUUUUUCUUGAUUAGAAACCCAAUUGUUAAGUGUCAGAAGUUUAAGGGUUAAAUUGAAAAUAAUCAUUUCGAGUGAAAUGAUGUCGUUUUCUACCUUGUUCAUUAUCUGUUCUUCCUCUUGAAGACCAGAUCAACAAGAAACACAACUAAAAAAAAUCACGGACGACGCUGCCAAUAUCCCCACCCACACGAUGAAUAUAUAUCUAUCGCAACUGGCUUGUAACUCGUAAGAAUGUGAGCCUUGGGCUUGGUUGAGGCGGAUAUGUGGCAAAUACAUAUUCCCGGUUCAACUCUAAGAACCAUUGUAACCCAAACAUAAGAAAUCAAUUAGCAAAUGUGUUCAUAAAAAACAAAUAUAAAACUUUGGUAUAAGGACUACAUGCAAUCGACUUUUAUAAUCGGUUAAUAAGCGUUAUCAUCCUUAAAAUAAUAAUAAAAUAUAAUUUCUAAAUCUUUAUUAAAAAGCUUAAUUUCUCAAAUAUUGAGGGAUAAUCAUAUAUACGAGAAUUUAAAAAUUCUAUGUAAAUAUAUACUAUAUAUAAAAAAAACUUAAGUAUUAAUAAAUUAAUUUAUAUUUUUUUAGUUUUAAGCACUCGAAUUCUCUAUAAAUAAAAAUAGAUAAUUAAAAGCUUGUUAUUUAAUGGUAUAAAAUAAAAGAAUAAAAAAAAUACUUGAUUUCACAUCAGUCAUCCAAAUUUGACUAAUGAUUUAAGACCUAGCCAAUAUCUUAGAUUGCCCGAUUACAAGUUAAAAGGUCUCUCGCAAGAUUAUUAGAUUUUUAUGGCCUUAAAAGGCCAGAGUAAUUAGAUUAUCUUGAAAGGGCAGGGAUGAAUUUGACUUCACGUAUGAUUUCUUUUUUCUAGAGAAAUUAACAAUAAUUUAAUGAAGGACAACUUACUUGGCUUUACAUCAUCUUAUCUAUAGUCUCAGACUCUCAUGGCCAGAAAGUUGUCCUCCUCAUCCAAUAUUAAUAAUCUUAAAAUAAAAUUUAUGAAUUAAAUAUGCCAUUUUUAUUUUAAGAUUAAGAAUUCUUUAAGAAUUUGGACUCAUUUUCAAGCAAGUUAAGAAUUCUUUAAUUAAUAAUUCCUAAUUAUAAAGGGAUCUGCAUUGAUUUUUUGGAGUCAUUUUUAAUCUCUUAAAUUGUAGUAAGGUUUCUUAAUUAGGUGGCGAGAAAUCUGUCUGCAUUCGUUAUUUAUUCUAAUAAAAUAGCAUGCAAUUUAGUCUUUCUUAACCAAGUUGCAAAUUGGCUCUGAAUUUUCUAAACUUUUUGGCGCUGUCCAUCCUUCUUCAUAUUAUAAACAUUCAUAAUCACUCUAUUUUCUAUUUAACCUUUUAAAAGGACAGAAAAAAGCUCAGGCUAUCGGGCCCACAGCCUAGCAUGCAUGGCCAUUAUAAAAAAAAACUUAAGCAAGCAGGUAACCUUCAAGCCCAGCCUGGCAUGCUUGGGGUUUGUUCUAUUUUUUAAUAUGAAAAAAAAAAAUAUAAACGUUGUCUACCAAUCUAGAUUACAGCCACUAAAAUAGUAACCGGAAAAUCAAGAUAGCGUCUUUUUUGGUAAAAAAACUACACCUUAUCAACAUCAAGGCAACGUCUUUUUUGGUUUUUUUAAAAAAUUACCUCUAUUUUUAAGACAUUAUAACCCCAAAACACUUACAAACAUCUUUAUAGCACCCGAAAAUUAUUUCAUCAACUUCAAAUACCCAAAAAAAUAGCCCAAAAAUCUGAAAUCAAAUCGGUUUAGUUUUGGUUUUCUUGAUUUAGAUCUGGAUUUUUAUGCAACAUUAAAGCUCUAAACAAUCAUCAUGAAACUCCUCUCAUAUUUGAGAACCCGUGGACACCAAUAAAAUCCAUUUUGGUGGUCGAAAAUGAAGUGAACAAUGGCUUUAUCUCUUAUCAUUAGAAUCUAGCAACACUUAUCUCUCUCUUCUCUGUAACCUUAGAUUGAAAAAUAAUACAAAUAAAGUUGUGUAUCAAAACUAAUUUUUUAAAAAUUUCAAAAGACCUGAAUUCUAUGAAUAAUGUUAUUUUUAAAGAUCAAAGACCUAAGUAUAUUUUGCUUGAAGUCUCUGGUACAUCAUUCAUGUUUGAUGUCUUUUUUUAUUUUAAUCCUCAUUCUUUCAAUUUCACUCUUGAUUAAUUAUAUAAAAUAAAAUUUUGAGAAUCGAAAUAAAUUAUUAUAAAAAAGAAUUCAUAAUGUUUCGUGAAUAUAUGAACAAUACCCAAAUAUAAUAAUAAUAAAAACAAACCACACGGCUUUGCAGUUUGUUAUAAAUCCAUCAUUUAGACUCGAAUUAAAACCUCACAGGAGGACAGAUUCAUUUCGGCAUGCACACCAAAAUGGAAUUUCAACGAGAGAGAUAUAUACAGAUGGUUUUUUCUUAUUGGGCAUGUGCAGUGGAUUUACACAUCAUUUAUACGAGUAAUGUGUCGCUGCGAAAACUUGACAGCAUUCAGGAUAUCACUAGCUAUUUAUUUAAUGUGUUUCUUAUAUUUUAUUAAAAUCUUCAAAGUAAAAUUUUUAAAAAAUAUAUAUAUGAUUAUGAUUUAAAAAAACUACCCCAAGGUGGUAGUCUAGCCGUAUAUCAACUAGGGGCUUGGGGUUUGCUUCUUCAGAACUCUGGUACUAGAAAAGUUAUCCUUCAUGAACAACAGUGUUUUCACAAGCUGCUGAUUUCUUCGGUUUUUAAAGGAAGAAAAAGCGUUAAUAACCACAAAUUACAUUUAUUUUCCUUUUUGAUAUUUUGUUGCAAUAUCUUUUCUUUUGCCCUGCUGGAAAGUUAUAUCUGUUUUUAUCAGAACAAUAAAAAAAAUAAAAAAUAAAUUGUUUGGCCCAUCCAUCCUUAUAAUUGAGCUUGGACUCGUCCAUAUGUAUCCACGUCACUUUUGUCACUGGAGUCAACCAAUUGCCUCCUUGGUUCCCUCGAAUAUACCGUAUGCAGGUGCUGUUUAUAACAAGCAAAUUCUAUCCUCCCGUACAGUUCAACGGCAAGCUGGGGUUGUGUUUUUGGGCAUGGGAUUUGCUUACAUUUUGAUCCUCCAUGCAGACUGCAAGAUGUCCCUUGGUGAAGCUGCUAAUAUUCAUACUUCGUUAAAAAACUACAAAUUACAUUACAAACAACAUUGUAGUAAUCAAUAUUUAGAAAUAGUGCUUUCUGAAUUUCCAGAUCUCAAUUUUAUUAUAUUCCAUAUUACCUGUAGAAUAAAAAAAAUACCAAAAAAUUCAUUAAAAGCACGUUUUAACCACGAAAACAACUCAUUCUUGAAAGGGUGAUGUUGCUUUUUUACUGCAUGGAGAAUAUAUCUGAAUUAGAGAUUUCAUAGCAAUACUCUGCUUUACAGAUUCCUUGUUUAGCAAGAAUAUCUGCACAGUGAUUAAUCUCCCUUGGUGUACGUACGAGUGAAGGAUACUGGACCCAACAGUCAUUUCGGGUGAAAACGGUGUUGUUUUCAACACACACUAUUCAUUAUCUCUUCAUCCUGAAGACCGGAACAACAGGAUCGAAACACAACCAAAAAAAUCAUGGACCACGCUGCCAAUAUCCGGCCCCACCCACACGAUGACUCUCAAAGUCAGAAGGAACGAACAGACAGAAAGACGAAGAAGAAGAGGCACAGAACAGAAGGCGAGAGAACAGGACGAACAACACAAGAAUACCAGGAGACAAAUACAGAGAAAGAACAGGCGACCCAAGAAAGUGAAAGGCGAGAAGAAGCAGAGGAGAGAGUUUCUUUUCGGCAAGCAACCUCACGCCUUCAUCGCCAUCAUCCUCGACUUGCAGCGACCAGGUAAGUUCUUCAUUUCCCUCUCCUUUACAAUUAUAAUUGCAUAGGUACUGUUCUUAUGCAGUUUUAAUUCAAUCUUGCGACUUCAGCAAUUAUAAUCCAGUGGCUGGGUGUGCACCCGUGCCUUAUCCUUUUAUUUUCACCCUCAAUGUUUUUAAAACUCUUUUUUUACUCUAAAUGAAAAAAAAUAAAAAAAAUAAACUCUAAAUGAAAAAAAUAAUAUAAACUUGAAUUGUAAAAUUAUAAAAGUGCAAUUAAUUUUUUUAAAAUAAUUAUAUAUUGAAAAUUCUAAUCAUGAAAUUAAAUUAUAUAAAAAUUUGAUAAAUUAAGUCAACAAUAUUAUAAUCAAUGAAUGAUUUAAAUAAAAUGAGAGAGACAAAUAGUAUGAAUCAAUAAAUUAAUGAUAUUUUAAAAUAAAAAGUUUCAAAAACAAAACUUUUCAAUACAUGAAUGAUAGGAAGUAUACAUGAAUCUAGUGAUAACUUGGUUGUUUUUCAUCUCAAUAAGUCCUAAUAGACCUCUUUUGGAUUGCAAGCUAAUGAACUUAAAGUAGUUAUUAGCUAAUAAACAAUGUCUAAUGCACUAGAAAAAAAUUCAAAUUCAAAAUUAAAUAAAUAAAUAAAUAAUAAAAAAAGUCUUCACGUUAAAAUUCCUCAAUGUAUUUGCGAAUAUCUAAUUUUUGCAUAUAUCUUGGCAGAUUUGAGUUCUGAUUUCAAACAUGUCGUUCUUUCUCGUGUUGAUGAAUUACUGAGCGUACGAUAUAUGGUUAUAAAGCUUUAGAUGUCUAGUUUCCAACCCAACUUUAAUCGUAGCAAAAUUUCACUAGUAGCUUUAGAUAUAUCUCAAACAAUAUAUAAAGGUCUAGCUUGACAUAUUUGAUAAGAUUCAUCUACUAACUAUGACCCUCUAAAAUAUUAUGUUCUCAAACUCUAUUUGACUUGAAAAUUUACCAUAAUAUAUUUUCAUGUGUCUAAUAUUUUCCUGUAAAAUUUUAGCUCUAUCAAAUAUAUAGUGUGAAAGAUAUGUUCAAUCUCUCAAAUCUGGUCAGUAGACAUUUUAAAACCAAAUUUAGAUCUGACUUGGUUCAUAUCAUAAAUUUAGUAAACUCGUAAAAUCAAACUGAGUUUACCGAGUUUACUAAUUUUACUGUUUUUGCACAAGUUAAAUUUGACUUUGCAAGUUAGAUACAUGUUGACUCAUAUAAUUGUAAGUUACUGGAUUUUAACAACAAUGUUCACCCUUCUUUAUUUUAAUAUCUAGUCAAACAGGUCUUUUUUGAUAUCAUAAAAUUCCAAAAAAAAUUGUGGAUCUUUUUGAAUUUAUUUAUAGGUCCCUUGUAUUUUUUUAAGUAUUUCACUAUAUUAUUAAUAUGUGAAUUUUUACUAUAAAAUGUAAAUCCGUUAUAUGAUAUAUUUAAAAAAUAUAUAUAUUUUUAGAAUUUUUAAAGUUCAUGACAUUGUGGGUGUGAUAAUUAUUAUUAUUAUUGAAAAAGAUGAUGAUUCUAUGAUAUUAAUUACUAAUUAAUAACUAUCCAAUUAGGUAAAUUGAUUAUUCCAUACUAAAUAAAAUUUUAUCUUUGUUUUUCUCAACAAAUAUGUGACCUAUAUAAACCUACGACAAAUAAUAUCAAUUGAUGGUAAGCUUCCACAUCUAAUUAUAUAAUAUAUAGGUUUUGAAGAGAUAGGGUGAAGGCUACAGUAAAUGUUACCGUUGCUAUCAGCGCUGAUAACUAUACGGGACUCUGUUGCUUUACUCAAAGCAUCCUCUUCCCCUUUGUUUCUCCCAUCACUUCCUCUUUUGUGAGAUGCCAAGGAAGUAGGAACAAUGCAUAUACCCUUUCUGCUUAUAAUUAUUAACUAGUCCAAAGUUUGGUAUUUUUCCAUAAAUAUCAUCAGAAAAAAAAAUAAAAAAAUAAAAAACAAAGAAAAAUCAAAAGAAUAUAUUUUUGAUAUAUUUACAUUGUUUUAAUAUUUUCAAUAUCAUCUCAAAAAAAUUUAAAUUUUAAAUGUAUUUUGAAUACGUUUAACUUUUAACACGUAAAUUUUGUGAUCAUUGAUUUUUAUUGUUGAGUCAAUGUUUAUAUUACUUAUUUUUUUAAAUAUAAAAAAUUAAAAUUAAAAGAAAAAUAGAAAAAAAAAAGUUAAGAAACUAAUUUGAAAAUAUAACAAUAUUUUACCUUUAAAUACUAGCCUACAGUAAAGUAAAAAAAAAAAAAAAGGAGAAAAAAUGAAUUCAGGGGAGAAAAAUUCAGAGGCAUGGAGGCGGAGCAAAUUUUGGGGGGAAAGAAAAAACCUAACCUAAAAUUUAUCUACAGGCAAGCCGCCGUCCGACGCCCUUUCAGCUUUUAGUUUUUUUGGUCCCAGAACCAGCAAAAAGCUUGGCUCGCCAUCUUCCCUGAAACCGGAGAGAAACCCCACACAAAUACACUCCUUGGUCUCUGCCAUUUUCGGCACCUUCCCCUUUCCCAUUCCAGCCUUCCCAAAUCAACCAUCCUCUUCACCUGCUCUCGGUGAUCAGCUUCCCUUUAGCCCUCUGUCAAAGCAAGCCACAGUCGGCCUUCCAUCAUCAACUUUUGCCCUUUGGUUUCUUUUUCUUCCAGCAGCGAUGGCCCCCUCCCCGUGCAGCGGCGCCGUGUUCCUCUAGCAGCAGCCCACACACGACAGCGUCCGGGCAACGCUCUCUUCUCCAUGUUCUGCAACCGGCCUCCAGCAACAGCCAAGCCCGGCAGAAUCCACCUUGGUCUAGCACAGCAACCUCCACCCUCACCGCGGAGCCGUCAGCCGUCAUGAAGAGGAAAAACUAAACUCAGAUCUGGAAAAGAAAGGAGACUGGGAACAGAUGAAAGAAAAGGAAAAGAACAGACCCGAAAGAAGCAGAUCUGAAGAAGGAGAAGAAAAAAAACAGAUCCGUGAAGAAGUAAAGAAAAUUAAAAACAACUGCUUGUGUUUUGCUUUCUGCAGGUGACGGUGGGUGUCACCGCCUACAGGAGAAGGAAAAAGGGACGAAGCUGGUACAGACCCCCUGUUACCCGGGUUGUCUUCGCGGCGGCGGCGCCAGUGGCAAGGCGCGUGUGGGUGACGCUCCGCACUGUUCAAAUGCCCAGAAACCUUCCAGCCAUUGCAGAAGGCCUUAGAUUUUUGGGUUUUAUUUUGUAAUUUGUGAAUUGUAUUUGAUUUAUUAUGAGUUUUGUUUUUUUUUUUUUUUUUUUAUAUAUAUGUAAAAGAUGGUGUAUAAGAAAAUCAUAAUAAAAAAGAGUU